rnacentral:lncRNA from 1 species
GUUACAAGCCGUAACCAAACAACCAGUGUCGAUUGGAAUUUCUACUAGCCAAGAGUUUCAAUUUUACAGAGGAGGAACUUAUCAUGGUAGUUGUGCUGAUCGUAUUAACCAUGCUGUAACGGUUAUAGGGUAUGGAACUGAUGAGCAGGGUCAGAAAUAUUGGUUGUUGAAGAAUUCAUGGGGAACAAAUUGGGGUGAGAAUGGAUUUAUGAAAAUUAUAAGAGAUACUGGAAAUCCUGGAGGACAUUGUGACAUUACCAAGUUGUCUUCUUAUCCAAUCAUAUGAUAUAUAUGAUAGUCCUUCAAGGAAAUAUUCAAUGUUUAAUUAUUUUCUUAUAUGUUGUUGUGUUGUAUCAAGAGUUGAAAAAAAAUAUUGGUCGUGUGCAAGCAAAAACUUUUUGCAUGCAGGAUCUGAGUCUUUUGUAUUGAAACUUUAUGAAAUUAUAAAAAAGCAUAAUGAUUAAAUUAUAUGAAGCACUUUGUUUUCUAUUUAUGAUCAACUCAAAACACAGGUUCAGCAUGGGCUAUGCUGGAUUCAGAACCUUUUUGUGAAAUCUCCAUCAAUCUGUUUCCAAUUAAAAAAAAAAAAUCACUUUUAUUGAAAGUAGGCUUUGCUUGGAAAUCCAUUUGAAAUUCUUAAAAGUUACUUUCAGAUCGUCUGAAGUAUCUGCCUUUUCUAUCGGACUGCAAGUAUAAUGCUACUAGCUGCCUUUUCUUUGGUCCUGCUUUAGAGAUGUUGCACACUUGGAAUUGGCUUGUGCAUUUAUUUUCGAAUUAAAUAAUGCAGCUAAUGAAUCUUAAGAUCUAAUAUUAACUUCCUAAGUAUCUCAUGCUGUUUUUUUACUGCAUCUCAUAAGUUGAUUUUUGAGUCCUAUUCUGCAGAGUCAAUGAGAAGUGCUACUCCCUUGAUUGUAUCAGAUGAUGGAAACAUCUGUUGUUUUGUAUUAAUGGAUGGAAAAUCUAGGGGCACAAGUUGCUUUUUGAAUCAUGAAGAACAGAGAGAGAGAGAGAUAUUAGCAGAGAGGAAAAGUGGCCCGAGAUAACACCUCGCGUUACAUGUUAGGUUGUAAAGUUCUUCUUGAGUGUAUAUUAUUUCAUGGCCAAGCAAUGAAAAGUGGAUAUUCCUGUUGCAAUUUGGUCAAUCAUUUGUUCUCAUCACUGUGGCAACUAGCUUAACGCAAACACACAACAGUAGAUUUCACAAUUUUGCGCAAACAGUACCUUGAAUCUCUGUCAUGAAAAUUUUUAGUUUCUUAUGAUUGGAUAUUUCUUUUCAGCCAAAAAAAUAUAUCAACACCCUUUUGGUGCCGAAAAAUGGCCAAAUACCUGAGGAUAUAGAAAUUCUGGCUUCUCAAGGAAUUUUCAAUGUGUUAUGUGUUAUUUCCUUAUACGGGUACGCAGAAUCUGUAUAUGCAGAACAAUAAUUUCAACUAGUUCAAAAACAAGAACUCAAUGAAGUACAAAAAAAAUACCCUCAACACAAGAUCAAAGUGAUCUUUCUUAGAAGUGUAUUUUAUUUUUAGAAAUCAAAAUGAAACAGAAAUGGCCAAGUCGCCCGAAUUCACGGACUUUCCUUAAGGAAAUAAUUCCCCUCACUGUACUCGAGGUUGAGGAAUUUUCCUCCCAAGAUAAAAUGGCCAAAAAAAAUAAUUGUAGCGGUACCUCAAACAACUGGAAUAUCUUCGAACUCACUGAACGUUUUGAGUGAUCACACAGAAUAUUUUUAAGUCAAGAAGAGUGUUUUUAUUCUGAAAUUUUUGUUCCAAAACCUGUGGAUGAAAGCAGGUUUAAAUAGCCACAAGAUGCCUCUUCUGAAAAGUGGCAAUGGUUCAUUCAAAAGGUGUAACCUUUUCUGAAAAUUCAUGUCCAUUCGUCCAAACAGUGUGUCUGUUCCGAACAGGCAUGCCAUUUCGUGAAUCAGUGUGUCAUUUCAUUGAAGAAUUGCAACCUUUUGAAGCAUCAGUUUGAAACAGUGUAACUUUUUUGAAGCAUCAGUUCAGUUCGAACAUUGCAUCUAUUACUGUUACUGCAUGCAUAUAAAUGGAGUAUUAAACACACAAAAAAAUUCCUGCGUUUUUGUCAUUGAUCAGAUUUCGUCAAAUAAAGUUUGUCCAAAAAGAUAGAUCUCAUCGAUCGAUCAUUUUCCAAAUCCAAAUCCAAAUCUGAAGCCGAUCCGAGCGAGCGAGCGACAACGGCACGAGGCAUCUCUUAUUUCUUACCUCACUUAUCAUGUGGAGUAAGUGUUCUUGAAUAUAAAUACUUUCAAGUUCUCUUCUUCCACCAAUGUGGGAGAAAGAGUAAACUUUCUAAUUUAGGAGUACACUUUUCAUUUUAGCGUCUCCUUCCCUCCACCAUUUUACUCUCCAUUUUUUCAUUCACACUUCUUUCAUAUAGUAUGAACCCAACAAUCCCCCACAUGAAUGGAGAAUGGCUAUUUUUCGUAAAAUUUUUACGGACAAGUAUGUGAUCAUCAAGCAAAGACUGAUUGCAUCUGGAUAAGUGGGUUUUCCUUUAAACUUUCUGUAGUGAACAUGCAUCGGAUGCACUCAGUCAAUUGCUAGAUUUGAUAUCUUUGAACCGUCGAACUUUAAUGUACACCUAGACAAUACAUGUCACACAACUAGCCUUUUAACGUUUAAGGUUCUCAUGGUUUUAUUCUUUUCAGCUAUGAACACAUCCCGGUUUCAUGAGAGCAUAGAGAAUAGGCCUUUACUAACAUUCUCCUUGAAGCAGCUUCCACUUCUCCCUCACAUAGGUGAUUUCUAAACGUUCAAUCUUAUAGAUUAAACUAUUUGGUCAAAUCUGCCAAAUUUAGAUAAUCAUUAAAAGACUUUUCACUUUAAGUCUUAUCCUUGAUUACUAUACAUUGUCUACAUCAUGAGAAUGGGUUGUGUAAUUGAUAACGUUGAACCUGUAAUACAUAACUUUGUUUGAUCUCCUUGAACCUAGCUCUUGGGAUCUCUAGUCUGCUAGGUAGAGUUACCACCAUGCUGACUUGUCCUAGGCCUUAAACCUAUUCCCUUGGAUGUCCUUUCCACUCCUUCUCUAGAUAGGCCUUUUGUAAGUGGANNNNNNNNNNNNNNNNNNNNNNNNNNNNNNNNNNNNNNNNNNNNNNNNNNNNNNNNNNNNNNNNNNNNNNNNNNNNNNNNNNNNNNNNNNNNNNNNNNNNNNNNCCGCUUGGCUAUCACAGUGUAUACAUACCGGUUCCAAUGGCUUGGGCCAAUAUGAAAUAUCUUCCAAGAAAUUCCGGAGCCAUUCUGCUUUUUCACCGGCUUUAUCUAAUGCGAUAAAUUCAGAUUCCAUUGUAGAGCGAGCAAUACAACUCUGUUUGGAUGAUUUCCAAGAGACUGCUCCUCCACCGAUAGUAAAUACAUAUCCACUUGUGGAUUUUACUUCGUUCGAUCCAGUGAUCUAAUUUGCAUCACUAUAUCCUUCAAGUACCGCAGGAUAUUUAUUAUAAUCAAAGCAUAAUCUUGAAUGUAUUUAAGAUACCCCAAAAGUCUUUUCAUUGCCAUCCAAUGAGUUUUGUUGGGAUUACUUGUGUACCGACUUAAUUUACUAAUAGCACAUGUUAUGUCUGGUCGUGUACAGUUCAUUAUAUACAUUAAACAUCCCAAUACUCUUGCGUACUCCAAUUGUGAGUCACUUUCACCUUCAUUCUUUCAAAGUGCAAAGUUAGCAUCCAAUAGAGUCUUGGCAAUACGGAAUUCCAUAUACUUGAACUUGUCAAGUACCUUUUUGAUAUAAUGAGACUGUGACAAUGCCAACCCUUGUGAAUUUCGAUGGAUUCCUAUACCUAAGAUCACAUCUAAAACUCCAAGGUCUUUCAUAUUAAACUUGCUCUCGAGCAUUCGUUUUGUUGCAUUUAUGUCAGAAAUGUCUCUACUGAUGAUCAACAUAUCAUCCACAUAUAAACAUACAAUGACUUGGUGAUUUGAAGUGUCUUUAAUAUAAACACAUUUAUCACAUUUAUUUAUUUUGAAUCCGUCUGCCAACAUGGUUUGGUCAAACUUCGCAUGCCAUUGUUUUGGUUUUAGCCCAUACAAUGACUUAAUAAGUCUACACACCUUAUUCUCCUUCCCUGGAACCACAAAGCCCUCAGGUUGUUCCAUGUAAAUUUUUUCCUCCAAUUCUCCAUUUAGGAAAGCGGUUUUCACAUCCAUUUAAUGGAUUUGAAGAUCAUAUACCACCGCUAAGGCAAUUAACAUUCGAAUCGAUAUUAUCCUUGUUACAGGCGAGUAUGUAUCAAAGUAAUCAAGGCCUUCUUUUUGUUUGAAGUCUUUUACUACAAUUCUUGACUUGUAUUUAUCAAUAGUGCCAUCUGCUUUCAUUUUCCUUUUGAAGAUCCAUUUAGAAUCUAAAGGUUUAUUUCCGGAAGGAAGAUCAACUAAUUCCCAUGUAUGGUUGCUUAAGAUUGAAUCAAUCUCACUAUUGACUGCCUCUUUCCAAAAGGAUGAAUCCAAAGAUGCCAUCGCUUCCUUAAAUUUUUUAGGCUCAUUUUCUAAGAGAAAUGUUACAAAAUCCGAUCCAAAUGAAGUAAACGUUCUUUGUUGUGUACUACAUCUUAGAUUUUAUUCAUUAUGUAAAUUCUCACUUGGUUCAUCUCGAGGUCGUUUAAAUCCUCCACUAGACUGUUCAUGUCUAAUUUUUUAUGGGUAAAUAUUCUUAAAGAAUUCAACAUUGUCUGAUUCAAUUACUGUAUUUUCAUUAAUAUCCGUAUGUUCGGAUUUAUGAACCAAAAAUAGACAUCUUUACUACUUUUAGCAUAUCCUAUGAACAUGCAGUCCAUCGUCUUAGGUCUUAUCUUUGUCACACCCUUUUUUUUUAACCCGAAAAGAUUGAUUUUAGUUUUGAAAGGAUUUUUAUUAUUGAAGUGACAAAAGAUGAAAAGUUGUUUCGAAAAGGAUUAUUUGCAUGAAAACUCAGAGUCGCCACUUGACAUAAUUGGGUGUGCCAAGUCACCUUUGAAUAUCCUUUUCAAGCGAUUUUGACUAUAAAACUGAUCUACGAACCGAGAUUCCGGCUAAGGAAUUCUGUUGACCGAGGAGAAGGUGUUAGGCACCCCUCGAUCCUGUGGUUUGACCACGGUCGCUUGGUGAAGAGUAUCGGCUAAUUUGACACUACGAAGGUAUAAACCACACAAAACAUACAAACACAAUCAAUCAAACAAACAAAACAAAACAAUCCAAAAUUUAGUGUCCAGUCCAAUUAUAAAGUCCAAAAAUAAGAAAUGCGUAAAAAUAAAUCCUACUCUAAAUUAAUUCUAAACUAAUGCUCUACCCAACGCCUCGGGCCUUCUUCAUGAACGUCCUUCGGGUACAAGAUACCUCGAGGCAUUCCCCGGUGAAUAAAUAUAUACAGAUACUUCAGGGCAUUCCUCGGCCGAAUUAUACAAUUGAUUCAAAAGUGAUAAAAUCAAACCAUUCAAUCAACCCACAAUCUCUAGAUUUGCUUACCGACCUAAGNNNNNNNNNNNNNNNNNNNNNNNNNNNNNNNNNNNNNNNNNNNNNNNNNNNNNNNNNNNNNNNNNNNNNNNNNNNNNNNNNNNNNNNNNNNNNNNNNNNNCCAAUUGAUUCAAAAGUGAUAAAAUCAACCCAUUCAAUCAACCCACAAUCUCUAGAUUUGCUUACCGACCUAAGUCCUGCCUAUUAAGCUUUUGAUUUAAAAUGAUUCUAUCAAAUUCAUGCUUAAUCCAAAUUAAAUGAAACGACAACUGUCCAAAAUUUAACUACAUUCAACUUUUUAACAACUUCUUAUUCCCACCCCGAAAUCAUUUUCCAACCAAAAAUUAACACAUGCUUUGACUAUCAACUCAAUUUUUAAAUCGGAAUCCAAUAUAAACAACAUAGACCCAACGACAAUUAAAGCAUGAUAAUCAUAUGAAUUUCACGCGAAUAACAUCAAACAUUCACCAACUCAUCCAAUUUCAAACAUGCCCAAUUCAACAAAUUACGAUAAAGAAGAGAGAAUGAGUUAAAGAAAUGGACCUUUCGAUAAUCGAUUUCGGUUGGUACUAAUAUUAAAGAAGACCCACACUUGGAAUCUCAAAUAUAGAACCUCGAUUGUGAUUAAUCCAACUUGGUAUAGAGAAAAACUAAUAGGACAACUUCAAAACCAGUGAGACAAACUUUGUUAUACGAAACCCAACCAAGAACGACGACGCGAUUUGAUAACGACAACUCGAAAUCCAAUAUCGAUGACGAACCAAGAAAUAGACGAACCCAAGACCCCCAACAAACCACCAGGAACCUAAAACCCAAUGCAGAUCAAGCUCCGGUGAGCUGGAAAAAAUGGAAAACUGACAGGAUAAGGUUUGAUUUCGGCGACCGUGUUGUUUUCCCGUCUAAAUCUAACUAGAACUCAAAGGAAAUCGAUGAGAUCUAGGGAGUUUGGGACUGAACAGAGCAAACGACAACCAGUAAACUAAUUUUGGUGAAAAAGUUUGCCUGGAAAACUCAAGCGAAAUGGCUAGAUCUCACCGGCUUCACUGUUUCUCGCCUGAUCUCCAUCAAUCGCACUGUUUCACUAUUUCUCCUUGCUUAGUGAGUGUGUAUGGGCAUUUUUCGGUGAUUUUAUGAGUGUGUGUGUGAUUUUUGUCAAUCUGUGUGUAUGUGUAUAUUUUUUUCCCCUCUUCAAACUUCUGUGUGGGGUAUGUUUAUAUUGAUGAUGAUGGAAUGGAAAAUUCUUUUUUCUUAAAUAUUCUGUUGUCCCCUUUCAAGUUGUUAUCCUGUGUAUUUGGUUAAAAUAAGUAACAAAUGUGAGAGGGUUGCCUAGGGUGAUGUGGGGUAGGGGUAAGAGGGGUAGGGGUUAGGAUGUGUUGUCAAUUUUUAGUUGGGUGGGUUGUUAGAAUAUUAGGAUAAGACAAGGUUUGUUAUUUUUUGUAUUUUGUGAGGGUAUAAUAACAUGGAUGAGGGUACACAGUAGGAUAAGGUAAAAUUGGGUAAAUUAAUCUUUCGGAGGGACAAAAUUAUGUGUCUACAUCAUGCCCCCUUUGAAUGUAAACACGCAGUGUUUUCAGGCAAAGAAGUAAACAACGAGACCGAAUUUUAUCCCAAUCAUUAUUCAAAGAGAGGAGUAAAAGAAAGAAGGACAAUUGACUCUUGUCGGACACCCUAUCUACCCAAGUCAUGAGGAAAUCACAAGUAUCUCAAAUGGUUGGAAGAGAAGUGGACUAUACCGAGUUGGAGAGUCGAGUGAGGUUCCACCAAGGUUCCGGUCCGCGGCUCUAUCAUUACAUCAAAAAAUGAAAAUUACAAGUUAAAACAUAAAUGAAAUUACAAAAUCCUAUCUAUACAGCUUCUGUUGGCUCUUGACUCAACUUUUGUCACCCUAUUCUUCAGGCGGGUUCCUGACUUGCAAUUUCUUUCAACUUUUUGCUUGGCUUUCAAUUUCUUCGCUUUGUUGCUUGACUUUUUUUUCUUCGCCCUAUUCUUCAGGCGGGCUCCUGAAACCCAAAAUUAAAACUAGAAUGAAAAUUAUCCCGAACAAAAAUUAUAGUAAAGUAGUAUUUCAUUUUUGAAAGCGCUGUCCUAUUUUUCAGGAGGAUCCUGAACAGAAAGUAAAGUCCCAUUUUUCAAGAGGGUCCUGAGCAGAAAGUAAAAUCCCAUUUUUCAGGAGGGUCCUAAACAGAAAGUAAAAUCUCAUUUUUCAGGAGGGUCCUGAACAGAAGGUAAGGUCCCAUUUUUCAGGAUGGUUCUGAACAUAAAGUAAAUUUCCAUUUUUCAUGAGGGUCCUGAACAAAAGUAAAAUCCCAUUUUUCAGGAGGGUCCUGAACUGAAAGUAAAUUCUUAUUUUUUCAGGAGGGUCCUGAACAGAAAGUAAAAUAUCAUUUUUCAGGAGGGUCCUGAACAUACAGUAAAAUCCCAUUUUUCAGGAGGGUCCUGAAUAGAAGGUAAAAUUCCNNNNNNNNNNNNNNNNNNNNNNNNNNNNNNNNNNNNNNNNNNNNNNNNNNNNNNNNNNNNNNNNNNNNNNNNNNNNNNNNNNNNNNNNNNNNNNNNNNNNNNNNNNNNNNNNNNNNNNNNNNNNNNNNNNNNNNNNNNNNNNNNNNNNNNNNNNNNNNNNNNNNNNNNNNNNNNNNNNNNNNNNNNNNNNNNNNNNNNNNNNNNNNNNNNNNNNNNNNNNNNNNNNNNNNNNNNNNNNNNNNNNNNNNNNNNNNNNNNNNNNNNNNNNNNNNNNNNNNNNNNNNNNNNNNNNNNNNNNNNNNNNNNNNNNNNNNNNNNNNNNNNNNNNNNNNNNNNNNNNNNNNNNNNNNNNNNNNNNNNNNNNNNGUCCUGAACAGAAAGUAAAAUCCCAUUUUUCAGGAGGGUCCUGAACAGAAAGUAAAAUCCUAUUUUUUAGGAGGGUCCUGAAUAGAAAGUAAAAUCUCAUUUUUCAGGAGGGUUCCAUUUUCCAGGAGGGUCCUGAACAUAAAGUAAAAUCCCAUUUUUCAGGAGGGUCCUAAACUUAAAGUAACAUCCCAUUUUCCAGGAGGGUCCUAAACAGAAAGUAAAAUCCCAUUUUUUAGGAAAGUCCUGAACAGAAAGUAAAAUCCCGUGGAUGUGCAUUUUGAAUGGUAGCUGAAUUAAGUGAAGCGAAUUUGCCCUAUUUCAACAAAGAAAAUUUGUCAGUUAAAAACUUAGUGGUGGCUUGCAGCUCUUGGCUUCUCAGGUAUCUGCCCCUGCACUCGUUCCUUUCAUCUUUGUUCCAAAUAGCUGACACUUGCCCUAUCUUGCCGCAUCAUUGACCUGGAUCCAAAUUUGAGGGAAAUGAGUUCUGACUCGAACAAUGGGUUUCCAUUUUACCAUGCCUCUGAGGUGCACCCUUUUCCCAAAUCUGAAUGCUUCCACGAAUCCGACAACCUGUUGGUUGAUAGACUUUAUUUGUUUCAUGUUGAAUUACGAUCAUAUUUCUUUCCUAUGUUGUUCCUUGGCUUUUUCUCAUACAAUUGGGAAGACUGGUAGUAAAUUUUGAAAUUCUUUCUCGCUUGUUUUGACACAGACUUGACUUAAAAUGUGAAGAACUGAUGGUGACUUUUAUUUUGACAAAUGGCAAUAAAAAGACAAAAAGCAUGAUAUAUAAAUAAAAGAAAAGGGCAAUGUCCCAUAUUCAAAAAGAAAACUUAUCUAAAUACGACAACCAACUCCAAUGAGUAUGACAUGCAUUUUGGAUUAAGCUGCCUGAUCUUCAUAUCCAAACUCCCCAUUUGUUGUUGAGUUCGUGCCUUUGCCGCUGAGCCGCUUCUUCAAAUUCAUUGGACUCAUACAUCACAUUCGAUUGACGAUAUCUUAAAAGACUGUCUCCAACAAAUCUCUUUCUUUUCACUUUUCACUUUUCUCUUGAACUCGCCAUCGCCUUACGGUGCCCGUGAGGGUUUUCACCAAUAAGACUCUCUCAUUUUUAUUUCUCUCCACUCACCAUCGCCUUAUGGUGCCUGCUCAUUUUUGUAUUUCUUUCCUGAUUUCUUAUGCUGAGGGAGACAAGUGAUACUUCACAAUGUAUCAUCAUAUCCAUUGCAUGCUUAGCCUUAACAUUAUCAAAAAUUGAUCUGAAGGACUUUCUUUGGUUGUAACUUGGCUUUUGGAUCAGGUUAGAAAAGGAUGGCAAGAGGUUCAAACGACACUUGAAGUGGGGGUGGGACUUACAACUUUUGAAAUCGACUCAAACAACACAUUAACUCAUGCCCCAGUUUUUGUUGACUGGGUGAAUGUUAAAUCUUUAUUUGGUUGGACCAAGCCCGAAAUAGGGCAGCCUACGUAUCUCACUCCCGAGAGAGGAGAAUCAGGUCGCACGUAGUUCCAAAAGCUUGUUUUUUUUCAAACUCUUUCUUUUUAUGCUUAUUUUUUUGACAUUUAUCUUUGACUCUAUUUUGAUUCCAAAAGAGGGAUAUGAAAGAAAGAAUAAAAAGAAGAUCAAACGGGUAAACAAAGGAUGACACAAUGUUUGGAUAGAAGAAUAAAAUGUCUUCAUCAUAUCAAUCUUAAAAAAAAUGCAAUUACUAAACAUGCAAUAAAAUCAAUAAAGGAUAUAAUAUCAUACAUAAUAUAUUUUGACCACAUCAGCAUUGAUAGCCAUUUCUGCCAUUUUGCCUUCAAUAUCUGUCAAAUAUAAGGCUCCAUUGGGCAACACUUUCUUCACAACGAAGGGACCUUGCCAGUUAGGGGAGAACUUGGCUUUCGCUUCAACCUGGUGAGGAAGGAUACGUUUUAAUACCAACUGACCAACUUCAAAAUUCCUGGGAUGGACCUUUUUGUUAUACGCUCGAGCCAUCCUCCUCUGAUACAACUGUCCAUGACACACAGACGUUAGCCUUUUUUCCUCAAUCAAACUCAAAUACUCCAGUCGGGUUUUUACCCAUUCAUCAUCAUCAAUAUCUGCUUCUACAAUGACUCGAAGAGAGGGAAUUUCAACUUCUGCGGGGAUGACUUCUUUUGUCCCAUACACCAAUAAAAAUGGAGUUAGCCCUGUUGCAAUGCGAACAGUGGUGCGAUAACCUAGCAAUGGAAACGGUAAAUUUUCAUGCCACUGUCUAGACCCUUGUACCAUUUUUCACAGUAUCUUUUUUAUAUUCUUAUUGGCAGCUUCUACAACACCAUUGGCCUUUGGGCAAUAUGGAGUAGAAUUUCGAUGUGCGAUCUUAAACUGUUGACACACUUCUUGCAUCAAAUGACUAUUGAGAUUGCCAACAUUGUCUGUAAUGAUCAUCUUAGGAAUUCCAAACCUACAAAUGAUGUUGGUAUGAACAAAAUCUACCACUGCCUUCUUUAUCACUGACUUAAAAGUUACUGCUUCCACCCACUUUGUGAAGUAAUCAAUGACUACCAAAAUGAAUCUAUGUCCAUUUGAUGCCUCCGGCUCAAUCGGUCCAAUCACAUCUAUUCCCCAAGCCACAAAAGGCCAUGGAGCGGCCAUUGCAUGCAACUCAACCGGAGGAGAAUGUAUCAUAUCACUGUGUACCUGACAUUGAUGACACUUUUGAACAAAUCGAAUAGAAUCCCUCUCCAUAGUAAGCCAGUAGUAACCUAAUCGAAGAAUCUUCUUUGAUAAGACAUGACCAUUCAUAUGCGACCCACAUACUCCAGAGUGUAUUUAAACCGUGAUUGCCGAGGCUUCUCUUGCAUCUACACACCUCAAAAGUCCCAGAUCUGGGGUUCUUUUAUAUAAGAUCCCCUGGCUUAAGAAAAAUCCACUAUCCAAACACCUAAUAGUCCUCUUUUGAUCGUUGGUGGCAUAUGUUGGGUAUUUUCCUGACUGAAUGUAUCGCUUGAUAUCCAAGAACCAGGGUUCUCCAUCGAGCUCUUCUUCAAACGCAUUACAGUAAGCAUGCUGAUCACGACUCUGUAUAUGCGCGGGAUUGAUGUAGGCUUUAUCAGGAUGUUGGAGCAUUGAAGAUAGAGUGGCUAAAGCAUUAGCAAUUUCAUUAUGAAUCCUUGGAAUAUGCCUAAAUUUUACUAACACAAACCGUUGACAUAGCUCCUGCAGGCAUUGUCGAUACAGGAUGAGCUUCAAAUCUCGCGUCUCCCAAUCGCCUUGAAUUCGAUGAAUAAGCAAAUCUGAAUCCCCCAACACCAAUAAUUCUUGGAUUCCCAUAUCAACAGCUAACCUCAAACCAAGAAUGCAAGCUUCAUACUCUGCCAUAUUGUUAGUACAAUAGAAUCGAAGUUGUGUUGUUACCGGGAAAUAUUAUCCCGAUUCAGAGAUAAGAACCACACCUAUUCCGACUCCUUUCAUAUUAACAGCUCUAUCGAAGAAUAACUUUCAACCUGGAUCAGCAUCUAUAACGACUUCAUCGACACACGUCACUUCUUCGUCAGGAAAAUAUGUCUUUAAUGGCUCGUACUCUUCAUCGAUGGGAUUCUCAGCAAGAUGAUUUGCCAAGGCUUGGGCUUUCAUGGCGGUUCGAGUCACAUCUGCCAUGUCGAACUCGGUAAGCAAUAUUUGCCACUUUGCCAAUUGACCUGUCGGUAUAGGCUUCUGAAAGAUAUACUUUAAAGGAUCCAUACGAGAGAUGAGAUAAGUAGUAUAGGAUGAGAGAUAAUGCUUCAACUUCUGUGCUACCCAAGUUAGGGCACAACACGUCCUUUCAAGAAGAGUAUACCUGGCCUCAUAUGUUGUGAACUUCUUGCUAAGAUAAUAAAUAGCCUGCUCCUUUUUGCCUGUGACAUCAUGUUGACCCAGGACACAACCAAAAAAAUUGUCCAUGACUGAUAAAUAUAAGAUCAAAGGCCUAUCAGGUUCUGGGGGUACCAUCACGGGUGAAUUCGACAAAUAUCUUUUGAUUCGAUCGAACGCUUCCUGACAUUCUUCAGUCCAUUUUACCGCAACACUCUUUUUCAGCAACUUGAAUAUGGGCUCACAAGUGGUUGUGAGUAAAGCAAUAAACCUGCUAAUGUAGUUCAUUCUACCAAGAAAACUCAUCACCUCCGUCCUAUUCUUGGGCGGGGGCAAAUCCUGAAUGGCUUUGAUUUUUGAGGGAUCCAACUCAAUUCCCCGACGGCUGACCACAAACCCCAACAACUUUCCAGACGAAACUCCAAAUACAUAUUUUGUCGGGUUGAGUUUGAGAUUAUACCUGCAAAACCUUUCAAAGAACUUUCUUAAAUCUUUAACAUGGUCAGCCCGACUUUUUGACUUAAUAAUCACAUCAUCCACGUAUACCUCAAUCUUCUUAUGCAUCAUAUUAUGAAACGUAGUGGUCAUGGCUCUCAUGUAUGUUNNNNNNNNNNNNNNNNNNNNNNNNNNNNNNNNNNNNNNNNNNNNNNNNNNNNNNNNNNNNNNNNNNNNNNNNNNNNNNNNNNNNNNNNNNNNNNNNNNNNNNNNNNNNNNNNNNNNNNNNNNNNNNNNNNNNNNNNNNNNNNNNNNNNNNNNNNNNNNNNNNNNNNNNNNNNNNNNNNNNNNNNNNNNNNNNNNNNNNNNNNNNNNNNNNNNNNNNNNNNNNNNNNNNNNNNNNNNNNNNNNNNNNNNNNNNNNNNNNNNNNNNNNNNNNNNNNNNNNNNNNNNNNNNNNNNNNNNNNNNNNNNNNNNNNNNNNNNNNNNNNNNNNNNNNNNNNNNNNNNNNNNNNNNNNNNNNNNNNNNNNNNNNNNNNNNNNNNNNNNNNNNNNNNNNNNNNNNNNNNNNNNNNNNNNNNNNNNNNNNNNNNNNNNNNNNNNNNNNNNNNNNNNNNNNNNNNNNNNNNNNNNNNNNNNNNNNNNNNNNNNNNNNNNNNNNNNNNNNNNNNNNNNNNNNNNNNNNNNNNNNNNNNNNNNNNNNNGCUUAUUUCUUAGUGCUUCCUCUUCAUCAUAUUCCCCAUCCUGCUUCAUUACAUCUUGAUUAGUUUGGAUUUUAAGGUCAGGCUAAAAAUUUCGCAUGCAUGUCAUGUCAUUAGAAUCAGCAUAAAGAGAACUGUAUAAAAAAAACAAAAUAUAUUAGACACAAAUCAAAAAGGGGCAUUGCAUUUCAUUAAAUAAAAAGAUAGAAGGGUUUAAACAUAGAUGCCAAAGAAACAUAAACAAACUAAAAUUCGAAUUACAACCCUGAAAUAACUCGGAUAAAUAUAAAGAAAAACAAAAUAAACUACCAAAACUCCCUCCGAUGGGGAGAGGAGUGACUUCCUAAUUAUUGAGCUGGAUAGCUGGACCUAUGAAUUGUACGUCUGCCAUACUGGUACCUUCUCCUGCUUCGACCAUAUCAACUUCAAUAAAAAGGUUCUGGUAGUCAUCAACCAAUUCAACUUUAAAUUCCACAUGUUUCGUGACACCGCUCUUAACAAAUGAUUCACUAAGUAGUGGCAUUGGGCGAGGGAGUGGCCAUGUUUCCUUUUUCCUUCCCUUGGCUUUCUUCAGAUCUUCAUCCGUAGGCUCAAAUUCUAGACUAAACGUGCCCACGUUCUCACUCGGACAUAUGGGAUGAACUAUACUAUACAGAGAUGCUCCCAAACCCUUUCCUGGAUCAAAUCCGUAUUUCCAAAGUUCACUCACCAUUAUGAUAGAAGUGGAAGACAAUUGCAGUCCGGUAUAACCUACCAUUCAAGGAUACGAUUCACUGGCACUGUAUCAAAAAUUUGAUAGACGAAUGUCUCCUCUACAUUAUUUGCUUCAAUAAGAGAUAAGGGAGAAUCUUUGCCGGCGGACAAAUCUCCUUCACCGUGAAUAACCACUUCUUGCCUGUCAUGCUCAAACUUAAUCAUUUGGUGCAGUGUAGAUGCAACUGCCUUGGCCUUGUGGAUCCACAGCCUUCCCAAUAACAGAUUGUAAGAGGAGUCUAUAUUUAAUACUUGAAACUCUAUGGCGAACUCAACAGGCCCUAUGGUCAACAUUAGUUCAAUUUCGCCAAUGGAGUUUGAUUUUGCACCAUCGAAAGCCCUGACACAUACAUUGUUGGGCCUGAUCUUGUCAGCACUAAUAUUCAACUUCUGCAAAGUAUAAAUAGGGAAAUAUUUACACCUGAACCUCCAUCAAUCAUAACAUAAGUGACGUAGAAAUCUUCACACUUCUCUGUGAUGUAAAGGCCUCGGUUAUGCCCUGUACCUUCAGCAGGCAAUUCAUCGUCAAAAAAGCUGAUUCGAUUGACCUCAAAGAUUUUUUCGACCAUUUUCUCAAGUUGAUUUAUUGUAAUCUCCCUAGGAGCAUAUGCUUCAUUCAAUACCUCCAGUAAAAUAUCACGAUGCUCCUUGGAGUGCAACAACAAAGAUAAGAGGGAAAUUUGAGCAGGGGUUUUCUUCAACUGCUCUAUUAUUGAAUACUCUGGCAAUUUCAUCUUUUUCAAAAAUUCUUCGGCUUCUUCUUCGAUGAUAGGUUUUUUGAUAGAUGACGGUCCACUCACCAUUGGCUUGGACUUUCUUAAGCUUUCAAGCACGAAGCAUCUUCCUGACCUAGUCAAACCCCCUACCUCAUCUACAUCUUCCACUACUUCUUUCCCGUGAUAGGUCAUCACAGUCCGCCCAUAAUUCCAGGGAACCCUUUUCUAUUAACUAUCAGAGGUUGGGUCACCAGUUUGAGGACAAUAGACACUGCCAGUGCUCCUUUCACCGUCAAGAUAGGCUGACUCAGAGCUCCUACCACUAUCAACUUAGGUUUGUCCUGACUUAAAUCAGCAUACUCUCUAGCACCUUGUACUGUGACCAGGGGUUUCUUUAUGCUUUCUUGGUCUUUAUCUUCUCUCAUUCCUUCCUGGCUCAAUGACAGUGCUUUCAAAGACUGCUACAUUCACCGAUUUCUCCUCAAUGGUCUGUACCUUGAUAAUAGGAUUAUAACAGCUUGAAGACUCUUUCCUAUCAUAUAUCAACUCUAACAUAUUAGUUUUAGCAUGGGUUGGCAGCGGGUUCUGGUUAAUGUUUGGACCCUUCGGGGCUUGGACUAGCAUCUGAUUUGUGUCAAUUAAAUCUUGGACAGCUCUCUUUAAAUGCCAACAUUUCUCGAUAUCAUGGCCUGGCAUGUCAAAGUAGUACGUAUACCUUAAAGAAUAAUCGAGAUUCCUCGGCGGUGGAUUUGAAAGCUUUUCUGGAAUUGGGCUUAAGACCUUCAAUUUUCUCAACCUAUCAAACAAGCUAGCAUACGACUCCCCAAGAGGUGUAAAUUGAUUUUUGACCGCCUUUUCUUUCUUAUACUCGGUCCUAGGUUGAAAACCAGGUCUGUAGGGGUUUUGGUAAUUCGAUGGAGCAAAUGGGCGAUUUUGUGGAGCUUGCACGUGCCACUGCGGGUAAGAAAGGGUUUGGGCAUUUGGAUGGGCGCUAUAUACUGGGUACGGGGGUGGUGGAAUAGAAUAUAAAGGGUUUUGUGGAGGGUAGUAAUGGUGGGGAGGAAUAUAUGGAGCUUGGGCGUAGACUUGGGCUUGGGAUUGGGGAUAGGGGCGAGGUGGUCUUUUGGGAUAGGAAUGGGUUCCAGCUACGACAUUCGCCACGUCCUCUUUAUUAUUUUUACCUCCUAAUGCACUAGAUCCACCUUGAAUUGCUUGUGUGGUGGCUUUUAAUGCAGCAAAACUUACUAUUCGGCCGGUCUUGAUUCCGUCCUCUAUCAUCUCCCCCAUUUUGAGGACUUCAAUAAAAGACUUUUUCAUUGCCGGAACUAAAUGUUCAAAAUAGGUCUCAUCCUGUUCCUGAAUGAAAACCUCUACAAACUUACUUUCUUUCAUUGGAGGCUUUACCCUGGCGGCCUGUUCAUGCCACCUUAUCGCUUAUUCCCUAAAACCUUCAGUGAUUUUCUUCUUCAUGUUGACCAAGAAUUUUUCGUCCGGAAUCAGGUCGAUGUUAUACUGAAAAUGUUGAACAAACUUAGAAGCUAAGUCAUCCCAGCUAUUUCACUUGUCGAUAUCUUGUUCGAUAAACCAUUCUGAAGCCAGAUCAGAAUGACUCUCGCCAAAGAAGGCCAUGAGCAGCUCUUCCCUUCCUCCUACAGCCCUCAACUGGUUGCAAUAACGUCUCAAGUGUGCCACGGGAUCACCAUGCCCUGCAUACUUCUCAAACUUGGGCAUUUUAAAAUCGAGGGGAAGGUUGAUGUUUGGGAACAUGCAAAGAUCUUUAUAGGAAACACUCCUAUAAUCUCCGAUUCUUUGCAAAUUCCUCAUAGCCUGUUCUAAACUUUUCAACUUUCGUGCUAUGAUUUCCUGUCCCUCUCUGUUGCGACAAGUUUCUCCAUAUCAAAUAGAAAUACAGGUGGCUGAGUGUACCCAUACAGUUCAUUUAUUCUUGAAGUAGGCUCUGGGGCAUAAUACUGACUAUCCAGAACCUUCAAUACUGGCUCACUGGUAGACCUAGGAAUCCCCAUUGUGUUAUGCACAACAUAUAUGGGGGCUUCAGGUGGUGGCAGAGCCACGAAUACCGGUGUGAUCGGUGGUGCCGGCUGAGCAGCGGUUCUUGAUUAGGGAGCUGCCAAGGGCACACCAGAACUGCCAGGAUAAUAAUGUUGCGGAGUGAAUCCUGGCGCGUGCUCAGGUGACUCAGUAGGAGCAGAGAAUUGCGCCUGAGAGAGCGGUGGGCAAUUAGAGAUAUUCCCAAGACCUUCAGGGAGUAGAGGAGGAGGCAUUCCGCUGGCCCAUGCCCGGUGCAACUCUAUCAAUUGUUGCCUGAGCCUUACUACCUCAUCAUUGUGUUCUGAACUUUCUUCCCUGUGAUCCUGAUCCGGGUCAAUGAGCGAAUUUUCAAUCUCCCUGCUAGCCAUGGCGAGCUUUGCUUUGGAUCUAGUGAAGUAUGGGUGACUAGCUAGAGUGCUGCAAACCUACCACUGUUAUCUGAAAGAAUAUGCUCAUCAAAGACGACAUCCGUUAGGAUUAGGGCGCACAACAAGCGUGGGAAUCACAUUGGUAAAAUUGUUCUAAAUUCAUGUUUAUUUCUACCAGCUUUUGAGGGUAGCGAGGUCAUUUUAACAUCAUCCCGAUUUUUAUCUACACUUAUUUUUAUCUACACUUAUUAUUAUUAUUAUUUAUUAUAUUUUUUUUCUUUCCCUCUCUCUUUUAUUUUUUUUUUCGUAUCAAUCUCUGUUCUUUUCCUUUCUUGUCUCAUCAUCCUUUCUUUCUUUUCUUCUCUCGCUAUCUACCUUUAUUUUAUCAUUCUUUAUGGGUUUUUCUUUUCUUUUUAAAAAAAAUGAAAAACAACGAAACAAAAUGAUUAGAUCAAACCCAAAAGCAGGUUGCCUACGUAUCAUGAUGUACAUGAAUUAGAUCUUGCGUAGUUCGGGCAGCAGAAGCAUAAACAUCACAUAUUUGAAGUUUUUCUUUUCUUUUUUGUGCAAAAACAAAAAUAAACAAACAAAUGAAAGACAUAACAUCAUAACAUUUUGACGAAAGAAACAACAAAACAUGCAACGAAUUUAGGACCGCUUUAAAAACUAAACAACAAAUACAAAAUAACACUCUAGACCCUCUAAGACGACAUGCGUGAAAUUAAUGAUAAAGAUCCUAAUACCAAAAAAGAAUUGACUCCAACUUAAAGCAGACACUACCCUACAAUGACAGAAACAUAAAAGACUCAAACUGAAUAAAGAUAAGAAAUGCUCUUUCAGACUAGUGCUCUGCGCAAUGACUCUGGCUGAGAUGGACCUGCCUGUGAAGUUCUCUUUCUCCCAUUCAAACUUGGUAGCAUAUCCUAUAAAUACACCCUGAUAUUAAGGAAGAAGCUUCGGGCCCGUAUUCUUGCCUCAUAAGGAGUACACUUGGAAAGAUUAUUCUGACACCUUUCUACUGUCUUGAACAAAUCUGUUAACUGAACUCUCAGUGUCUCCACUUUGGACCCUGCACUUUCAUCUUGAUGGUCGUCAACUAUGCAUUCUUCCUGUAUUCUACCUCUAAGCUGUGCUGGUAAGGGUUGACUGAUACCCCGAGGGAUGGAUUGAAGCCAAACCCCAUAUCCCUGAGUACCCCAAAUUAGCCAAACUUUCUUUGAGAGUGUCCACACCUAGCUUUGUUGCAUGCUUCCAGAACUGCUCGUAUUUGCUUUCACCUAAGGCUUGGUCCUUGAAGUACUCAACUUCCUUUAGAAGAUCCACUACUGGUGGCACGUCCUGCGGCCUACCCAACUGGCGCAUUACCCUAGAAGGACUGUAUGGUCUAGUGCAAUUAAGCCCUAACAUAACUAGAAGGAGCUUCUUUUGACAACCAAACAAGAUUAUCUUUGGUCGAAGCCACAGACAAGUCCACAAAAUGUUAUCCCUAGUUCUUGACUCAAGAAAUUCAAUCCAAGUGUCGACUCCCACGGGUAGCGAGAAUUUAUCCAAACGUAACCUGAGGUCCAUGGCUUUUACUUGAUUGCGGAUACAACGAUCAACCAUGUCUGGUCUAACUAAGGAAGGCGCAUACAAAUGCUCCAUCAUCCAUAACUGCAAUAUCAGGUUACUGCCCUAAAAAAAUCUCACCCCCCCUUCACUUCGGUUAAAGCCUUAUAUAUUUUUGUUAAGAUCAUGGGUAUGAGAGUGAACCUGCCCUUUUGAUUAAUGCCCUUGUCAUUUUGAUCCUUAUGAAAUAGAGCCAUCACUACAGAUUGCAAACGUGCAUUAAUACGUCUUUUUUCUAGCGGAAACACUAAAGUACCUAACAAAUCAAGAUGCUUUCUCUCCCACUUCUCCUUAGUCAUAUGAAAUUCAUCCCAAAAGCAAUCAAAACCUUCUGAGGGCCCGAAUCUAGAGAACAAAAAAAUCUAAGGAAACCCACGAAUCACUUAAGCAACCCAAAUGCAUAUCCUUACUUUUUAAACCACAAGAUUGCAAAAACCUCACGCCAGUAUGAUUUCGUGCUCGAAUCAUAUCCUUCUCGAUAUAGGGAAAAUGCAACAAACCGUAUAUUUCUGCCAAAGUAGGAGUCAUUUCACAUUCCCUGAACCUGAACACCAAACUACUUGGAUCCCAAAAGGUCAACAAAGCCUCUAUUAAAUCUGGACGAGGGGUAACAUGCAGAAGUUCCGUAAGAUCACCUAAUAUUUUAAUCAGUUUCUGCUGAUCAACAUAGUUAAACAUUUCCCACCACUCGAUUAACUUUUUGGGCACCUUGACAACCAUCAGGACUCUAGACUUGGGGGACAAAUCCAUCAUGUAAUAACACAUAAGACAUUAUCUCAAAAAUUUGACAGGAGUAGAAGAUUCCCAACCCUUGGGAUUUUUGACGCAAGCAUAUGUUGAUGGGAUAGACCACUUCAUGACUCCAAUUUGCCAAACAGAAGUACCGAGAGAAAUCAGUCUACUUGGCUAACAACUCUAGAUUACGGGGUGAGAGACCUAGGGUAAUAAUAAGACAAAGGCCAACACAAAGAUUACCGGACCCAUCAAGGGUUGUCUACGUAUCCCAACCCGAGGGAAAGGAAUCAGGUAUGCAUAGUUCAUCCAGAUUGGACAAUUAACGAUUAACUAAUAAAUUGACCCUAAUUUAAGAGACACAAUAAAAAACAAACGAAUAAAAAUUUUUUGGAUUUUCAACUUAGACAUUUCAACUAAGACUGACACCACCAAUUAUGAAGAAAAAAUCUUUUUGGUAUUUUUGCUUUUGACAAAUAAGUAUAAAAGGCAAACAAAACCCUCUUUUUUUUCCUUUUUGAACUCACGGUACUUUGAGAAGACAAAUGCAAAACGUAAAAAAAAAAAACUUUUUGAGUUCUUGGAUCGUGAAGAACAAAAGCCAUAAAGAACUCUAAAAUAAACUACGACACUCCUUUUGAUUCAUUCUUUUCGACUCACUUUUUUUAUAUAUUAUUUUUCUCUUCUUUUUUUUCUUUUUCGUUUUUGCCUACGCACCUUACUCCUAAAUUUUAUUUUAUUUUUCAAAUCAGUCCGUUAAAUGACCACGUUACCCUUAAAGAUGCAACAGUUAGUACGUAGGGAUGCCUUAGAGGUGAGUCUCCUACAAAGGAUCAUGUGUGUCCCGCUAGGUCUUAGUAUGAUUCACAUAAGCAUGACCAAAAGGCUGAACUACGUUGUGGUUCACUGACAAGGCUGUUCGGGGGAGCGUAUGGUCGAUAGUGGCUACUUUGCUUUCCACCUACUCCAUAACACCGACGGCUCCCCCCUAAAAUAAGGGUGACUCAACCAGAGGUCAUGUACAACACGUGUACUAAGGACUUAUUGCAAAAAGAAGGCCUGGGGGUAGACACAUGAUGCCAGAUAUAAAAGUAGUAACACAUAGGAUAAAUACUGUACACAAAGAGCACGAAUACACACAACAGUGAUAACAAUAACACAAACAAUAAUCACAAACAAUGUUUAUACACCCAUAAUGCCAAACAAAGCCGAUACGACUCCAAAAAUAAGCUUGAAUUCUAAAAUUUUCCCUAGCAGAGUCGCCAGAGCUGUCAGACCCCUUUUUUUAAGCCGAAAAGAUUGAUUUUAGUUUUGAAAGGAUUUUUAUUAUUGAAGUGACAAAAGGUGAAAAGUUGUUUUGAAAAGGAUUAUUUGUAUGAAAACUCAGAGUCGCCACUUGACAUAAUUAGGUGUGCCAAGUCACCUUUGAAAAUCCUUUUCAAAAGGUUUUGACUAUAAAACUGAUCCGCGAACCGAGAUUCCGGCUAAGGAAUUCUGCUGACCGAGGGAAAGGUGUUAGGAACCCCUCGAUCCCAUGAUUUUACCACUGUCGCUUGGUGAAGCGUAUCGGCUAAUUUGACACUACGAAGGUAUAAACCACACAAAACAUACAAACACAAUCAAUCAAACAAACAAAACAAAACAAUCCAAAAUUUAGUGUCCAGUCUAAUUAUACAGUCUAAAAAUAAGAAAUGCGUAAAAAUAAAUCCUACUCUAAAUUAAUUCUAGACUAAUGCUCUACCCGACGCCUGGGGCCUUCAUCACGAACGUCCUUUGGGUACAAGAUACCUCGGGGCAUUCCCCGGUGAAUAAAUAUAUACAGAUACUUCGGGGAAUUCCCCGGCCGAAUUAUACAAUUGAUUGAAAAGUGAUAAAAUCAAACCAUUCAAUCAACCCACAAUCUCUAGAUUUGCUUACCCAACCUACGUCUUGCCUAUUAAGCUUUUGAUUUAAAAUGAUUCUAUCAAAUUCAUGCUUAAUCCAAAUUAAAUGAAACGACAACGGUCCAAAAUUUAACUACACUCAACUUUUUAACAACUUCUUAUUCCCACCUCGAAAUCAUUUUCCAACCAAAAAUUAACACAUGCUUUGACUAUCAACUCAAUUUUUAACUCGAAAUCCAAUAUAAACAACAUAGACCCAACGACAAUUAAAGCAUGAUAAUCAUACGAAUUUCACGUGAAUAACAUCAAACAUUCACCAACUCAUCCAAUUUCAAACAUGCCCAAUUCAACAAACUACGAUAAAGAAGAGAGAAUGAGUUAAAGAAAUGGACCUUUCGAUAAUCGAUUUUGGUUGGUAAUAAUAUUAAAGAAGACCCGCACUUGGAAUCUUGAAUAUAGAACCUCGAUUGCGAUGAAUCCAACUCGGUAUAGAGAAAAACUAAUAGGACAACUUCAAAACCAGUGAGACAAACUUUGUUAUAUGAAAUCCAACCAAGAACGAUGACGCAAUUUGAUAACAACAACUCGAAAUCCAAUAUGAAAGACGAACCAAGAAAUAGACGAACCCAAGACCCCCAACAAACCACCAAGAACCCAAAGCCCAAUGCAGAUCGAGCUUCGAUGAGCUCCGGUGAGCUGCAAAAAAUGGAAAACUGAUAGGAUAAGGUUUGAUUCUGACAACCGUAUUGUUUUUCCUUCUAAAUCUAACCAGAACUCAAAGGAAAUCGAUGAGAUCUAGGGAUUUUGGGACUGAACCGAGCAGACGACGACCAAUAAACUAAUUUCGAUGAAAAAGUUCGCCGAAAAACUCAAGCAAAACGGCCAGAUCUCACCGGCUUCGCUGUUUCUCGCCGGAUCUCCGUUAAUCACGCUGUUUCACUAUUUCUCCUUGCUCAGUGAGUGUGUAUAGGUGUUUUCCAGUGAUUUUGUGAGUGUGUGUGCAAUUUUUGUCAAUCUGUGUGUAUGUGUAUAAUUUUUUCCCCUCUUCAAACUUCUAUGUAGGGUAUGUUUAUAUUGAUGAUGAUGGAAUGGAAAAUUCUUUUUUUUUAAAUAUUCUGUGGGCCCCUUUCAAGUUGUUAUCCUGUGUAUUUGGUUAAAACAAGUAACAAAUGUGAGAUGGUUUCCUAGGGUGACGUGGGGUAGGGGUAAGAGGGGUAGGGGUUAGGAUGUGUUGUCAAUUUUUAGCUGGGUGGGUUGUUAAAAUAUUAGGAUAAGACAAGGUUUGUUAUUUUUUGUAUUUUGUGAGGGUAUAAUAACAUGGAUGAGGGUACAGGGUAGGAUAAGGUAAAAUUGGGUAAAUUAAUCUUUCGGAGGGACAAAAUUACGUGUCUACAAUCUUAACCCUUUUAGGCAUAGGAAUUUGGACCUUUGCUAGACACCCCACACUUUGAAAUAUUUCAAGUUGGGUUUCCUUCCUUUUCAUUUUUCAUAAGAAAUUGAUUGUGUCUUACUAUGGGGAACUCUGUUAAGUAUACGAUUGGCUGUAAGGAUAGCCUCCCCCCAUAAGUUUUACGGUAAACCGAAACUUAUAAGCAAGACAUUCAUCAUUUCCUUCAAAGUUCAGUUUUUUCUUUUCACAAUUCCGUUAGAUUGAGGUGAAUACGGGGCCGUCGUUUGAUGGAUGAUUCCAUUCUCUACACAUAUUUCGGCGAAGGAAAAUUCAUUUCUCCGCCCCUAUCACUUCUUAUCAUUUUUAUCUUUUUAUCUAACUGAUUUUCAACUUCAGUUUUAUAUUGUCUAAACGCAUCUAUUGCUUCAUCCUUACUAUUUCACAAAUAGACAUAACAAUAUCUAGUGCAAUCAUCAAUAAAAGUUAUGAAAUACUUUUUUCCACUAUGUGAUGAUGUUGACUUCAUAUCACAAAUGUCAAUGUGUACUAAGUCUAAAGGAUUGGAAUUCCUUUCAACAGACUUAUAAGAAUCUUUGCAUACUUUGAUUUUACACUUGUUUGAUACUUUAAUUUAUUGCACUAAAAGUAUGGCAAAACUUCUAAGUUAAUCAGUUUUCAUAACAAUUUAUAAUUAACAUGGCCUAAACGUUCAUGCCAUAAAUCAUAAGACUCAAGCAAAUAAGAAGAAUUUGAACUUUUAUUUAUUUCAACAGUCAUUACAUUUAUCUUAUAAAGGCCUUUCGUCAGAUAGCAUUUUCCUACAUACAUUUCUCCUUUGCUAAUUACAAUUUUUCCAGAAACGGUUACACAUUUGAAUCCGUUCUUGUCUAGAAGUGAAACAGACAUUAAAUUCCUACGUAACUCCAAAAUAUACAAGACAUUGUUAAGUGUCAAGACCAUUCUUGAAGUCAUUUUCAAGCAUAUUUUUCCUGUUCCUUCUACCUUAGCGGUAGCGGAGUUAGCCAUGUAGAUCAUUUCUUCUACUUGAGUCAGAGCGAAUGAUGAAAACAACACUUUGUUGGCACAUACAUGAUGGGUGGCACCAGAAUCCAUUCACCAUUCGCGAGGAUUCCCCCCCAAGUUGCAUUCUGAGAACAUAGCACACAGAUCAUCGCAUUCUUUAUUAGAUUCAAUCAUAUUUGUUUGAUCCUUCUUCUUGCCUUUCUUCGGGGCUCGACAAUCCGUGGACUUGUGGCCAAUCUUUCCACAAUUGAAGCAUUUUUUCCUGAAUUUCUUUUUGGGUUGAUGGCUUCCUUGUUCAGAUUUCUUUCUUUUCUUAGAAUUAUUUUGGUCAUCUUCUACAAUAUGUGCUCUAUUAAUUGUAGAAUUCCCUUUUGACCUUCUCUCGGUAGCUUUAUUGUCCUCUUCAAUACGCAGUCGGACAAUAAGAUCUUCGAUAGUCAUCUCCUUGCAUUUAUGCUUCAAGUAGUUUUUUGAAGUCGUUCCACAAAGGUUGUAGCUUCUCAACUAUUACUGCUACUUGAAAUGCAUCAUUCACAAUCAAACCUUCUGCUAGGAGAUCAUGUAUGAUGAAUUGAAACUCUUGCAUUUAAGAGACAACUGAUUUUCUAUCUAUCAUUUUAAAGUCCAGGAAUCGUGCAACAAGAAAUUUCUUAAUUCCCACAUCCUUUGUUUUAUAUUUUCGUUCAAGUGCCCCCCACAAUUCCUUCGAUGUCUUAGUUUCACUGUAGACAUUGUAGAGGUCGUCUUGGAGACCACUCAGAAUAUAAUUCCUGCAAAGAAAGUUUGAAUGUUUUCAAGCUUCUACAAUUACGAAACGCUCUUUGUCCGAGGUUUCCUCGGGUGCCUUAGGAGCAUCUUCACUAGUGAACCGUUGCAGACACAAAGUGGUGAGGUAAAAGAACAUCUUUUACUGCCAUCGUUUAAAGUCAAUGCCCGCAAAUUUUUUGGGCUUCUCCGCCGGUGCCAUUGUAGGCGGAGCAUUUGUGCGACUUGAUGUGGAAAUAUUAGUUGCCCCCACUGACGUUGCCGCAUCUUGCAUUUGACUAUCGCUUGUCAUUUUUCCUGUCACCACAAGACAAAAAAUACUUAGUAUUUUUAGAAUACUACUUAUAAAGUUAAGCAACUUUAAACUUUUCUUCUUGUUUCUAAUUGACAAUAAAGUUUUUAUGACUUCCAAUUGUCAACCGAAUGAUCUUUAACUUAUGAUGAAGUUUUUAUGACUUCAAAUCACUAGUUAAGUUCAGGCGGAGUAGAAAGUUAAAACUUUAAUCUCCAAAAACAAGGUAUACAGAUUCAGAAAGUUAUUUCCUUAAGAUUGUUAUUUCCUUAUACGGGUACGCAGAAUAUGUAUAUGCAGAACAACAACUUCAACAAGUUCAAAAACAAGAACUCAAUGAAGUACGAAAAAAUACCCUCAACACAAGAUCAAAGUGAUCUUUCUUAGAAGUGUAUUUUAUUUUCAGAAAUCAAGAUGAAACAGAAAUGGCCAAAUCGCCCGAAUUCACAGACUUUUCUUAAGGAAAUAAUUGCCCUCACUGUACCCGAGGUUGCGGAAUUUUCCUCCCAGGAUAAAAUGUCCAAACAAACCAAUUGUAGCGGUACCUCAAACGACUAGAAUACCGGAGCGACAAUGACGGUGCGAGGCAUCUCUUAUUUCUUGCCUCACUUAUCAUGUGGAUUAAGUGUUUUUGAUUAUAAACACUUCCAAGUUCUCUUCUUCCACCAAUGUGGGAGAAAGAGUAAACUUUCUAAUUUGAGAGUACACUUUCCAUUUUAGUGUCUCCUUCCCUCCACCAUUUUACUCUCCAUUUUUCCAUUCACACUUCUUUCAUAUAGUAUGAACCCCAAUAGUAUGUUCCUGUUUCAUGGUUAUUAGAAAUGUUUCUUUUUCAAUAAAUAAGGACUUGAUCAGUUUCUACUGAUCAUGGAAUUUCUCAUUUUAAUUUCAAAAUCCAACUGUGCAUUUGGAAUCCGCAUGGUGGUCUCAUAAAUGUUGCUAGAUCCACAACACUUGAUUGCUUUUCUGGUGAUUAUCUCCAAUAUAUAGGUGACAAAUUGAAAUCUUGUAGGUCACUGUGGAUUCCAUUCAUGAUACAAAAAUGGGUGUGCUUUUUUAUCCCAAAUCAUUGAUUCAAGCACUUUCCAAUAUGUUGACGGAUGCGUGAGCCUGAAUGCUGCUGACUCCUUUAUCAGAAAUUUUGGAUCUUGUGGCGCAGUGUUUCUCCCUUUUUGCACAACUUGAAAUGGUAUGAAGUUUCUCCGAUAGGAAGUCUGGUAAUCUUGUUUUGUUCAUACAUCUAUUGAUUUUCAUAAAAAACAUUAAUGUUUCUAUGGCAAGAUCUGGAGAAAAACAGGCACUUCCUGUACACUUGUAGAUAAUAAUUCAAGCUACUCUGCAUUGAUUUCAACUUCAUGAAGUCCGAAAGGUGAUGCUAAUGCUUCCAUAGUUUCAUGUAAGCAUUGGAUUUGAUCUUUUUCAGCUCAUACUGGGAAAGAAUAUUGUUGUUCACAAUUGAGCUGUGACACAUCUGAUCUUUCAAAUGGUAUACGAAUUUGGACAUUUACAGAAUGAACUUCUUUGCCAACCAUAACUUGUUUUGGUUGAAGCGUAAUUGUUGUACAUAAUGGAAUUUUCUGUGAAUCGAGGUCCUUAUUUUAUAGGAAAAUGUUCACUGUUUAGAGCAGUGUAUAUGUUGCGUAUCAUUAUGUUCUACUGCUCCUGAUUUUUUCUUCCCUUUGGUAUGAUUUCUCACCUUUCCAUAUGUAACACAGCAACUUAGGAUAGGGAGUCCACAUCAUGUUGGGUAUAUAAGUAAGCAAGCUUUUUCCCCUAGUGACGCGUUUUAAGGCAGUGCGGGCCUAGGCCCAAAGCGGACAAUAUUACACCAUAUGUAACCAAGCAAAAACCAUUGAAUUACUAAAAUACAUGAGUAGUUAAUUGUUUGUUUGCAUCCUCAAGAAUAUGAAAGAAUUCAUUGUCAAUCUCUCAAAUAUUGCUGAUUCAUUUCCAAUGUACCUUUUGUUUGUUCUUUUACCCAUCACAUUAGUUAUAAACCAAAUGGGAAAGCCCAAUCCAAAACACUAGCCUGAUAGGUGGGAGAACUCAUUUGGUCUAUAAACCCCUUAGCAUUUCUCUAUUUUUUCAAUGUGAGACAAUUGGUUCAUAACAAUCGCCUCCGCUUGAGAACCAACGACCUCGUUGGUCACGGCUACGCCCAGUUGGUCACGCUGGCACCCCUCUUAGGUCCAGGCCACCACUCCUGGCGCACAGGCCACCACUCCGAGUCGCGGCUCCAUGCGUGGAUCGAUCCUCGUUGGUCACGGCUACGCCCAGUUGGUCACGGCUGGCACCCCUCUUUGGUCCAGGCCACCACUUUGAGUCAUAGCCUAACGCGUGACUCCAUACGUGGAUCGAUCCUCAUUGGUCAUGGCUACGCCCAGUUGGUCACGCUGGCACCCCUCUUAGGUCCAGGCCACCACUCCUGGCACGCAGGCCACCACUCUGAGUCACGGCCCAACGCGUGAGACUUUCAACGAAAGUACUAAUGUAACACAACUCAAAAAUAACCAAGGAAGCUGUUGUAAUAUUGAAUCACUAGUUGAAUUUACAAGGAAAUAGUCACUGAAAUGAUAUUGAAAACAGAGAAGAAAGGGGAUGAGAUAAGAUAGGGAUGAGAAGCUAGAAACUUCUACAAAAAAUAGCCUGCCUUUCCCUGCCUACUCCCUGCUACUUUAGACAAAAUUACACUCAUUACUCAUUGCCUUGCACCCACGUGCUCUUCACGUUUUUUGUUACUGGACCCCACAACAAAAUCUGUGAAUUUUUUAGAGGGAAUGGUCAUGCGCUUGCUCCUUCUAGGUUGAGAAAUAUUCUUGUCCACUGUGGCUGCCAAGUUGUCCUCCACAUCAGCAUUUAUGCUCAUAACAAUACCUUCCUCCUCAGAAAGAACCUUGUCCACAAGGUUCUGGGAAGCCUCAGUGUAAUCAGUCAAUGGUAAAGGAGUAACAGGGAGUAUUGGAUCCCUAACACAAUGCUUGAGCAUCAAAAUAUGGAAGACGGGGUGAAUGCGGGCAUCCUUAGGUAAAUCUAAUUUGUAAGCCACCUAUCCAAUGCGCUUAAGGAUUUUGAAAGGGCCAAAGUAUCAUCGACCUAGUUUGGAGUGUUGCUGCAAGCGAACAGAGUUUUGGCGAUAUGGUUUGAGCUUGACGAACACCCAACACUAAAUUCAAGCUCACUUCGAUGUUUGUCAGCAAACUUUUUCAUCCGUGCUUGCACUUUAAGUAGAUUGAGUUUUAAAAGUCCCAAAACCUUAUCACAAGCCACAAAAUAUUCCUCCACUAGCUCACUAGGACUGCUGCCCAAAACGUAACGUGCUAUGGUGGGAGGUUCUCUUCCAUACAAUGCCUUAAAUGGAGACAUGCCCGUAGAGGUCUGGUACGCCGUGUUGUACCAAUAUUCAGCCCAUGGCAACAUUGCAACCCACUUAUGUGGUGCGUCAGUAAUAUAACAACGAAGAUACUGCUCAACACACUUAUUAAGAGUUUCUAAUUGGUCAUCGAACUGGGGGUGAUAUGUUGUACUCAUAGCCAAAGACAUCCCUUGCAACGGUUGACCUCCUGCCAAAAGGAAUGCAGGAACCUGGGGUCACGAUCAGAACAAUAGUUAUAGCCAAAGACGUCCCUUGCAAAUGGUUGACCUCCUGCCAAAAGGAAUGCAGGAACUUGGGGUCACAAUCAGUAAUAAUAGUUCUUGGUGGGCCAUGAAGGCAAAUAACUCCUGUCACAAAAGCUUUAGCAACCACUCGAGUGGAAAAAGAGGUAGGCAAGGGAAUGAAAUAGCCAUACUUUGUCAAACGAUCUACCACAGUUAAGAUGGUAGACUUGCCUUUUGAACUAGGCAAACAAGUGAUGAAAUCCAUAGCUAUAUAGACUUGCCUUUUGAACUAGGCAAACAAGUGAUGAAAUCCAUAGCUAUAUCCUCAAACACCAAAUCUAGAAUGGGUAACGGUUGCAAUAGGCCUGCUGGGUGGUGGUGCAUAUCUUUCAUUUGCUGGCAGAUUUGACACCAAAUCUAGAAUGGGUAACGGUUGCAAUAGGCCUGCUGGGUGGUGGUGCAUAUCUUUCAUUUGCUGGCAGAUUUGACAGGAUGCAACAAAAAUCUGCAUCAAAGUUAUAAACCAAACGGGAGAGCCCAACCCAAAAGACUAGCCUCAUAGGUGGGAGAACUCAUUUGGCCUAUAAAGCCCUUAGCAGUUUUCUAUUUUUCGAAUGUGGUACAAUUGGUUUAUAACAACAUUUAUGCCAAACGAGAAGCAUUUGUGAUUUGCAAAUAGGACAACAUAGUGAUCAAGUACUCCAUUGCUAUAUCAGAAAACUUUUCCAUGUGCCAAUAAAGGAGCUUCGUUAUUGCUAAUAGCUCCAAAAUUAUGGUAAUAAAACUUAUUAGAAAGUUACAAAUGAAGGUUCAUUGCAAGAUAUUCAUUUGAGAACAUCAAACUGCGUGCACAAUCCAUCUUUAUGAUCAUAAAAAUGAGUCUUAUCAUACAUAACUUGCCGUGCUUUCCAGGGAAUUCAAUCAUGAAAUGAAAAUGAUAAAAUCUGAGUUACCUUAAUAUAACUAAAACGUUAGUACUAUAAAUACUAUGGUAAUUCUAAGCAUUUCAUCCACAACAUUCAAACAAAGACAUUAGAAUCAACAAAAACAUUAAAGUGGUGACAAUGGCUUUGACAAUCAAUUGGAAGCUUGCUCUUUUAGCUCUACUAGUGUUAGGAAUGUGGGCCUCUCAAGCCACAUCUCGUGACUUAAGUGAAGCCUCGAUGGUCCAGAAACACGAGAAGUGGAUGGCUCGCUUUGGGCGUGUGUACAGAGAUGAUGCAGAGAAGGCAAAAAGGUUAAAAAUAUUCAAGGACAAUGUUGAUUACAUUGAGUCUACCAACAAGGCUGGAAUUAGGCCCUAUAAGUUGAGCAUCAACGGAUUUGCAGAUUUGACAAAUGAGGAAUUCAGAGCCACUCACAACGGAUACAAAAUGUCUUCUCAUCGAGAGUCAUCAAGAACAAUAUCAUUCAGGCAUGAAAAUGUAACUGCUCCAGCUACCAUGGAUUGGAGAAAGAAAGGUGCUGUUACGGGAGUUAAGGAUCAAGGUCAAUGUGGUAAGUAUUCAAAUUAGGUCCUGUUAAUAAUAUCCUCAGAUUUUUAACGAAAAAAGAAGCUUAUUAGCAUAAGCUGAUAAUAUUGUAGGAUGUUGCUGGGCAUUUUCUGCUGUUGCUGCUAUUGAAGGUAUCAACAAGAUCAAAACUGGUAAGUUGGUCUCUUUGUCUAGCAAGAACUCGUGGACUGCGACACAAGUUCAGAUAUGGGGUGUGAGGGAGGUCUUAUGGAUGACGCUUUUAAGUUCAUCAUCAAGAAUCACGGUCUCACUACUUAAUCUAAUUAUCCCUAUGAGGGAACGGAUGGGACUUGCAAAACCGGAAAGGAAUCCAGCCAUGCUGCUAAGAUUACUGGUUAUGAAGAUGUCCCAGCCAAUAGUGAAUCUGCUCUGUUGAAUGCUGUUGCUAUGCAACCUGUAUCGGUCGCAAUUGAUGCUAGUGGAUCAGAUUUCCAAUUCUACUCUAGUGGUGUUUUUACUGGAGAAUGUGGAACAGAGUUAGAUCACGGUGUUACAGCUGUUGGAUAUGGAAAAACUAGUGAUGGGACAAAGUAUUGGUUAGUCAAGAACUCGUGGGGGACUAGCUGGGGCGAGAACGGUUACAUUAGAAUGCAAAGAGGCAUUGAUGCUGAGGAAGGACUUUGUGGAAUUGCAAUGGAAGCUUCUUAUCCAACUGCAUGAUUAAAUAGCUGAGAAGCUUGAAGCGAGGUUGCUAUUGGUAAUGGUUCGUCUUUACACACUAAUAUUAUUCACCUUGUUCAUAGAUUAUGUGGUGUGCCUACUGUGUAUAUGUUACAAACUCGUUGUAUAUAUGUAUAUUCUAAGUGUUAAACAAAAGUUUGUACGUGAAAAUUUCAGCAUUCAGCAAUCAAGUUCUAUAUAAUCUUUUGUCACCACUUGGCCCAAAAUAGCAAUUUUAUCCAGACACAAAAACUAAUUAGCAAUAAGUAAUGUUGGAGAAAGAAUAGAGGGGAGGAGAGGACACUUUAAUAAUUUGUUAUUGUAGUAAUUGAUCAUCGUCAAUGUGCAGCUUCAGGACAUAGAUGUUGAAUCUUAACAAAAACAUUACAAUAGCCUGCAUUAGUUGAACAGGAUAGAACAAAAUCAAAAGGAAUGCAAAGGGAUUUCAGCAGUAAAAACUUACUCAUUUUCAUCUAAAUGUAUGAUUCAGCUAUAAUAAAUUAGUAUAAACACAAGGAGAUGGUAAGGUCUCACCUUUGUCCUGCACUACUAAAAUUUAUUAAGGUUUAGGUAUAUCUGAACACUAGCUAUAAUAAAGUAUAUACCAUCCCCUAUGCAAGUUUACAUGGCCUUUAAUAGGCAGUUCAAGCUUCUAUUAAUUCAUCAUCUCUCUGACUCUAUCACCAAGCGAGAUGAAAGUCUUUGCGAAUGAUUUUAAUAAAUAAAAAGAAAUUAUAGCUGAGUUGAUGAAUAGUGGUGUUUAAUUAUAUAGUCAUAAGUCAUGUCACCUUCUCUUUUUUUCCCUUUUAAUUCUCUUUACUGAAGUACAUCCUUGUAUUAUGAGCCCAUAAAAACAACUUUUACGCUACUUUCAAUUUAAUAUAUCAAAAUCUAUGUAGAAUUACUCAAGUCUAACCAAUCAAAAUUGUCAUUUAUCUAAUUUGAUAAAGAAAAGUAAAUGGAGAAAAGUUAAUCUCAUUUUCCACAGGCUUAGAAGGCGAAGGGGACUUGCGAAGGCUCCAUUUCCACAUAAUUUACGAACAUUACAAAGGAGGAAUCUAACUUUUUCUCUUCUAAAAAUAAAUAAAACCACAAAAAUUAUAAGGUGUUUGAAUAUUAUUAACUAAAGCAUAAAGAACUAGAAAGUAGAAGCUUUCUUGUAUUCUAUACUUAUUGAUACGACUAAUUUAAAUUAAGUUUGUCAUAAAAAUGUUCUUUAAUACUCAAUUUUUUUUUUUAUUAAAGAUUUCUUCAGCUUAAAAACUAGAAAUCUUUUAUAUCCGCCACAUUCCUAAUAAUUGGUAAAAAAUAGAAACUACUAUGAUAUAUAUUCUGCUCAUUGAGAAUAUGAAUAAACUUGGCAAUGACAUGGGCUUGUGGCGCAUACUUGAAGAAGUUGACAGAAUGUUAAAACACUAAUAGCGGUAAUUGCGGCAUUGCUAAAAGAUCGAUAGAGUGCCUUGGCCCUUAGCUUGGGCAACAAGAACUUGACUCGAUUAAAACGUGGAGUCGUUUGUUAGAGUGUACAAAAAUAUUGUUGAUAGAAUGUAUUAAUAAUGUUUGCAUUAAUAAUGCUUAUAUUAGUAAUAUUGAUAUUAUUUAUGUUAACAUUAUUUUUAUACAUUAUUAGAUGUACUGUAUUAGAAUUUGCAUUUUUCAAUUUUGAUAUAUUUAAACAAAAGUUAAAAAAAAGAUGGACUGCAUAUACAUCAUAAGAUUCAUCCGGAAUCUAGCAUGAGCUCAAUAUAUAUUUUUUUAUCUCAGUUUUUGUGACACAGAUUGAAUUUAGAUAAUCAAUCAUACUUUUAAUAUGUUUUUAGAUAUUUUAAGUUGUUAAUAUUGUAAUCUAUAAUAUUUUUUGUGUAAUUUUUAAAUAAUAUAUGUUACUCUCUCUAUCUAAACUUUUAUGGCAUUGAAAGUUAACUAUAUUUUCAAAAUAAUUUAUAUUAAAAAUUAUUGUGAUUUAUAAUAUUUUUCUUCUAUUUCAAUUUAAGUGACACUGAUACAAUUUCGAGAGUCAACCAAAUAUUUAUAUCAUUUAAAUUUUUUAAGUUAUUAACUAUUGUGAUUUGUAGUAUUUUUAAGUAUUUUAUAAAAACAUAUAAUAGAUUAAAUUAUUUUUAGAUAUUUCGAGUUUUUAGUUAUUGUGAUUUAUAAUAUUUUUAUGUAAUUUUUAAAAAAUAUAUGCUAUACUCCUUGUCCAGAGUUUUGUAUCAUUGAUAGUCAAUUACAUUUUUUAAAUAAUUUAAACUUUUAAUUAUUGUGUAAAACUUUUUCUACUAUAAUUUAAGUGACAUGAUGCUUAGACGACCAUAAUAAUUAAUUAGAGGUGAUAUAGUAAUCAUGAUUGAAGCAGAGAAAUAGACAUGUCUUAAAUAACUCACAACAACUAAUUAGAAGUGAUAUAAUAAAAUUAUUAUAAAAGAUACUUGUGAAAAAAAAGUAAGUGAAAUCUCAUAUAAGACGUCAAGUUAUUUAAAACAUCAAGAGUUACUUUAUCAUUUUGUAUCUAUUUUAUAUUUUUAAUUAAAUAUUAUUUAUUUAUUUAACACUUAGACGAUUUAUAAUAAUUAAUUAGAGGUGAUAUUUAGUAAAAUUAUGAUUAAAGUAGCUGAAGCAAACAUGUCAUAAAUGUCCAUUCUAUUAUUUUAUUAGAUAUUAUUAAUUUUUUAAUACAUAAAUAAUUUAUAAUAAUUACUUAGGAAUGAUAUAGUAAAAUCACGGAGCAAAUAGCUGAAGCUGACAGGUCGACGGAGAGCUACUUUAAAUACUUAGAGGACUUAUAAUAAUUAAUUAGGGGGUGAUAUUUAGUAAAAUUACUAUUAAAGCAGCUAAAGCAGACAUGUCAUAAAUGUCUAUUUAUCUUUUUUUAUUAAAUAUUAUUAAUUUUUUAAGAAAAAAUAAUUUAUAAUAAUUAAUGAAAAAUUAUAUAAUAGAAAGUAAAAUUACGAUUGAAGCAACUGAAAUAGACAUGUUAUAAAUGUCUAUUUUUCGUUUUUAAAUUAAAUAUUAUUAUUUUUUAAUAUAUAAAUGACUUAUAAUAAUUAAUAAGGGAAAAUAUAAUAAAAUCACGAUUGAAGCAGACAAUAUAUCAAGCAUAUCGGAAUUUUCUCUUCUAUAUAUUAGGAAAAAAAUUUAAAUUACGUGAAAUUGUAGUAACAAAUAAGAAAGAAAGUAAAUUAUAUGUUUGAUAUGAAAUUAAAUAAAGAAUAAAAUUUAUUUAAUUGUAUCAAUAAUUAAUUUUUACAAUAAAUUAUCAUCUCACUAAUCAAUUUACUUAAAUAUAAUAUAUUUGAAAUAAUUUUAUAAAAUAAAAAGAUAAAUAAAAAUAAAAAAUAAAUGGAAGAUAGAGGGCACACCUGUGUGGAAAUAUAUGCAAGGCCACAUAUGAUGGCAUUAUUAUAAAUUCUUUACUUGACAUUAUUGGUAAUUGAAGAGAAAAGAUUGAAUUUUUAUUAAAACUUUUGAUGAGGUUUAAAAAAUAAAAAACAAAAAAAUUUCAAUUUGAGCUUAGAACUUAUUUUUAAAACCUUAAUACCCUCAAUAUUGAAUUUAAAGAUAAAAAGCUGACAUAUUGAAACCUUCACUUCUAAUAUACUAUACUUUAAUUAUAAUUUCCUAGAAUAUAAUAUAUCAGUGGGAAGACCGGAAGUCAAUAAUGUGAAAAAAAGAAAACAUGCUUGAACUUUCACAACAUAAAUUAAGACUCUUAUAAAAUAUAUAUAAGGUGAUAUAAGUAAUGAAAGUAGAAGAAGUAAUAUGAGUAACUAAAUAGAGGAUGCUUUAUAUUAUUCUAUUUUUCUCUGCCUUUUGUAAUGCAUACGGAGUGCCUAUUUAUAGGCCAAUAAAGUUGCAGACAAGAAGAUAAUUACUAUAUAUUAGUGAUUAUCUUGUGACUAUUCACAUGUCACAACACUCCCCCUUGAAUAGUCACCUAAGGAAAAGAUUUAGUGAAUACGUAUUUGAGUGCUGCCUCAUUAAAAAUCUUAUCAAGAAAAAAUUCAAUGGGAUAAAAACCUUGGUUAAGGAAAAAAGAGUGCAGCGCGUAUUCUCACUCCCCCUAAUGAAGACCUCGAUUCAACUUAUUCAGCCUUUGCAUUCCAAUCUUAUGUACCAUCUUCUCAAAGGUUGAAGUUGAUAAAGAUUUGGUGAAUAAAUCUGAUGGAUUGUCGCAGGAACGGGUUUGCUGCACAUCAAUAUCACCAUUCCUCUGAAGGUCAUGCGUGAAGAAUAAUUUUGGCGAAAUGUGCUUCGUUCUAUCUCCCUUUAUAAAGUCUGCCUUUAAUUGAGCUAUGCAUUCUGCAUUGUCUUCAAAUAUGACCGUGGGUACCUUGGUAUCAAGAUUCAGGCCACAUCUAUCUUUGAUGGAAUGUCCCAUUGAUCUCAGUUAUAUGCAUUCUCUACUUGCUUCAUGAAUAACUAUUAUCUCAGCAUGAUUAGAAGAAGUAGCAACGAUGGACUGCUUUGUCGAUCGCCAUGAUAUUGCAGUACCUCCAUAAGUAAAUACAUAGCCUGUUUGGGACCUUGCUUUAUAUGGGUUAGAUAAAUAACCUGCAUCUGCAUAACCAACAAGAUCUGAACUAGCUUUGUUAGUAUAAAACAGACCCAUAUCAAUAGUCCCUUUUAGGUACCUCAAUAUAUGCUUAAAUCCGUUUCAUUGUCUUCGCGUAGGGAAAGAACUAUACCUUGCUAGUAAAUUAACAGAAAAUGCUAUAUCCGGCCUUGUGGCAUUAGCGAGGUACAUAAGUUGCACCAAUAGCAUUGAGAUAUGGUACUUCAGGACCAAGAAUCUCUUCACCCUCUUCCAAAGGUCGAAAAGGAUCUUUACUCACUUCAAGUGAUCGAACAACCAUUGGAGUACUUAAUGGAUAUGCUUUGUCCAUGUAAAAUCGUUUCAAUACCUUCUGGGUAUAGGCAGUUUGGUAGAUGAAUACUCUGUCUGCUAAAUGUUCAAUUUGCAAACCAAGACAAAGUUUUGUCUUUCCAAGAUCUUUCAUUUCAAAUUCUUUCUUUAGAUAUUCGAUUGCCUUUUGAACCUCUUCUAGAGUCUCGAUGAGAUUUAUAUCAUCCACAUAAACGGCGAGUAUAACUAACUCCGACAUCAUUUUCUUAAUGAAAAGACAAGGACAAAUAACAUCAUUUAUGUAUCCUUCAUUUUUCAAGUACUCACUUAGGCGAUUAUACCACAUACACCCUGAUUGUUUUAGACCGUACAAUGAUUUUUGUAAUCUAAUUGAAUAUAAUUUUUGAGACUUUGAACUAUAUGCUUCAAGCAAUUUUGAUCCUUCUGGAAUUUUCAUGUAAAUAUAGUUAUCAAGUGAACCAUAAAGAUAAGCUGUAACCACAUCCAUUAGAUGGAUUUCAAGAUUUUCAUGUAUAGCUAGACCGAUGAGGUAUCUAAACGUUAUUCCAUCCAUGACAGGUGAAUAUGUUUCUUCAUAGUCAAUACCGGGUCUUUGAGAAAAUCCUUGUGCAACAAGGCGUGCCUUGUAUCUUACAAUUUUAUUUUUUUCAUUUCUUUUACGUAAGAAGACCCAUUUAUAGCCAACUAGUUUUACAUCAUUUGGGGUUUGGACUACAGGUCCAAAAACCUCCCGUUUAGCAAGUGAGUUCAAUUCAAAUUGAAUUGCCUCUUGCCAUUUUGGUCAAUCUUUUCUUCAUCGACAUUCUCCGACAGAUAGAGGUUCAAGCUCCUCAUUGUCUUGCUUGAUGUUUAGUGCAACAUUAUAUGCAAAAACAUUAUCCACCGUAAUUUUUGAUCGAUCUAAAUUUACCUCAUAAUUAGUAGAAUUUAUUGAAAGUUCUUCAUUCACUUGAGUCCCGGGUUCACUGAUUUCUUCAGGAAUAUCAGGAUUAAUUAGAUUUUGAGUCUCUUCAGGAGAAUCUUUUACAACACCAUUUUUAUAAUUUUUCGCGAUUUUUUUUCUAGGAUUUUUAUCCUUUGAACCCAAAGGCCUACCACGCUUCAGGCGUGUUUGAGAUUCAGAAGUUAUUACAUUAGAAGAUGGUUCUUUUGGAACUUCAAUUCGGACAGGCACAUUCGCUGCAAGGAUAUGUGACUUAGUUAUCCUUUUCAAAUCAGUAAAUGCAUCUGGCAUUUGAUUUGCUAAUUUCUGUAAGUGAAUGAUCUUUUGGAUCUCACUUUCACAUAUGGGGGUACGCGGAUCAAAAUGAGAUAAUGAUGAAACUUUCCACACAAUUUCUCUUUUAAGGUCACAUUUUUCUCCCCCUAAUUGCGAAAAAUUUAUUUCAUCAAAUCUACAAUCUGCAAAUUAAGUAGUAAAUAAAUCUCUCGUCAAUGGUUCAAGGUAGUGAAUUAUAAAGGGUGACUCAAACGCCACAUAUAUUUUUAACUUUCUCUGGGGGCCCAUCUUAGUACGCUGAGGUGGUGCAAUAGGCACAUAUACAGCAUAUCUAAAAAUUCAUAUAUGGAGAAUAUUUGGCUCAUGGCCCAAAACCAAUUGAAAUGGGGAGUAUUUAUUAUACUAAGUUGGCCUGAGACGAAUAAAUGAUGUUGCAUGUUAGACAGCAUGACCCCAAACAGUAGCAGGAAAUUUUAUUUUCAUAAGAAGUGGUCUUGCUAUCAAUUGUAGGCGCUUAAUAAAUGACUAAAAAAGGCCAUUUUGAGUAUGAAUAUGAGCAACAGGAUGUUCAACUUUUAUCCCAACAGAUAUACAAUAAUCAUCAAAAUCUUGGGAUGUAAAUUCUCCAGCAUUAUCAAGGCGAAUAGCCUUAAUAGGAUAAUCUGGAAAUUGCGUCCUUAAUCGUAUUAUUUGUGCCAAUAAUUUUGCAAAUGCUUGGUUACGAGAUGACAAGAGGCACACAUGCGACUAUCUUGAAGAUGCGUCUAUUACGACCAUAAAAUAUCUGAAUGUCCCACUUGGUGGGUGAAUGGGCCCACAUAUAUCCCCAUGUAUACGUUCUAGAAAUUGAGGAGAUUCGACGCUAAUUUUCAUUGGCGAUGGUCUAGUUAUCAGUUUUCCUUAUAACAAGCAACACAUGAAAAAUCAUUCGGUGUAAGAAUUUUCAGGUUCUUUAACGGAUGCCCUUUUGAAUUUUCAAUGAUUCGUCUCAUCAUUAUUGAGCCAGGAUGGCCUAUUCGAUCAUGCCAGAGCACAAAUGUAUUUGUAUCAGUAAACUUCUGGUUUACGAUAGAGUGUGCUUCAAUUGUACUAAUUUCGGCAUAGUAUAAGCCGGAAGACAAAGCUGGUAAUUUCUCUAACAUUUAUUUUUGACCUGAGACAUUCUUUGUAAUGCCAAGAUAUUCGGCAUUCAUUUUAUUUAUUGUCUCAACAUGAUAUCCAUUUCUGCGAAUAUCUUUAAAACUCAAUAAUUUUCUUGGGGAUUUAGAAGAGAAUAAUGCAUCUUCAAUAAUUAAUUUUGUCCCCUUAGGCAGAAAUAUAAUAGCUCUUCCGGAGCCUUCGAUCAAUUUUGAAUUACCAACAAUUGUUGCAACAUUUGCUCUUCUUCUGAGUAAGUGGGAAAAGUAUUUUUCAUCUUUAUAUUGUGUGCGUUGUCCCACUAUCAAUUACACAAAUAUCAUCAUGAUCGAUUAUUGAUCCAAAUAAGACUUGAGGAAUAGCCAUAUUUUCUUCAAAAUAAAAAUAUAAAUGAAAUAAAUAUUAGCACAUAAUAUCAUGUAUUUACACCUUAUUUUAUUUUAUAUCCAUAUUUUAAUUGCAGCUGUAUCCUAAACAAUUAACAUCUCUAUUACAUAAUAAUUUUGCUAUUACUAGCCAAAUGCAUCGAAAGUACACAUAUGUAAAAUUGUAUGUAAUAACAUGAUCUAAUGAGUACUCAACUUAAUUUCAUAAUAUGUUUUCUAUGAAUAAAUAAUUCUAGCCAUAACGUUAGCAUAAUUUAUGUACUAUAACAUUAUAUAAAUAGCUCACACUUUUAAAAUUUUUAUGUAUGUACUACAAAAUCAAAAAUUACUUAGUGAUCAUAAUACUAUACCACACUAUGGAACUAGCAUAGAAUAUAUUAUAUAAAUAUUAUUUAUAUACAAGAUUAGUAAAAUAUUAAUAAUAAAAAUGUAAACUAAUUUAACUUAAACAAAUUAAAGAAAAUAAAUUAAUACAAACUUAACAGAAAAUUAACAUAAACGGAUUAUAUCAUUAUUGUCACCGACAGAGUGAUUUACUUGUUCUUCAGGAAAGAAAUAUGAAACAUCCAAGUCCAUAGGUUCAAUGUUAUCUUUUAGGAGGAAGUUUAUUUCAGCAUCAUUUUCUGGAUUUUUAAGGGACGCCUGAUAUAGUUUUACCAGAUGCUUAGGCGUACGAUAGGCACGCUUCCAGUGUCCCUUUCCUUCACGUCGAUAACAUCUACUUUCAGGGUUCGUCCUUGGCACUGCUUCAGGAGCUUUACCCCUCUUUUUGCACUGUUGGUGCUGAGGGUUAUUUUUUAUUGCAAGAUGAUUACCCUGAUUGAAAUACCUGCUACGGCCACGACCACGACCACGACCUCGACUGGGGUCAGGAUUUCUUUCAGGCCAAGUUAGGUGAAAAUUUGCAGCAUUCACUUCUGGGAAUGGAGAAGUACCAGGAGGCGAGUUUCAUUAUUUUUUAUUAUAAGAUCAUUAUAUUGUUCAGCAACAAGAAGAUGAUAAAUUAAUUCAGAAUACUUUUUGAAACUCAUUUCUCGGUACUGCUGCUGCAAGACCAUAUUCGAGGAGUGAAAAGUAGAAAGGGUUUUCUCUAUCAUGUCAUGAUCUGUGAUCUUUUCCCCACAUAAGUCAUACUGCGAUUUAAUUCUAAACAUCGCAGAAUUAUAUUUACUUAUAUUUUUGAAGUCCUGGAACCUCAAAUAGGUCCACAGUACGAGCUUGUGGGAGUAUGACCAACUUCAGGUGGUCAUAUCUUUCCUUUAAAUUGUUCCACAAUAUGAGGAGAUCUUUGAUCAUGAGGUACUCCAAUUUUAACCCUUCGUCAAGAUGAUGACGAAGAAAUAUUAUGGCCUUGGCCUUAUCUUGUUCAGAUGCCUUAUUAUUCUUUUUAAUGGUGUCUGUCAGACCCAUUGCAUUUAGAUAUAUUUCUGUGUCUAGUGCCCAGGACAUAUAAGUUUUAUCAGAUAUGUCUAGGGCAAUGAAAUCACGUCUGGAAAUAUUAGUCAUAAUUUAAUAAAAUAAAAUACUAAUCUUUAUUACUUGUAUUUGCUUGAAUUGGUAGAAUCUCGUGCUGAUAACGUGUUAUAAAAUAUAUAUAAGGUGAUAUAAGUAAUGAAAGUAGAAGAAGUAAUAUGAGUAACUAAAUAGAGGAUGCUUUAUAUUAUUCUAUUUUUCUCUGCCUUUUGUAAUGCAUACGGAGUGCCUAUUUAUAGGCCAAUAAAAUUGCAAACAAGAAGAUAAUUACUAUAUAUUAGUGAUUAUCUUGUGACUAUUCACAUGUCACAACAAAGACUUACUUUUCCAAAGAGUAAUUGGGGGUCCAGUUGUGGACUAAAAAGGAUUUCAUGAGUCAAGAGUCUCUAGAUUAGCUAGUUAUUAAUUGUGAAAUAAUAUCUCAUAUACGCCUCUAUAUAAACGCAUUGCUACGAAGACAUAAAUUGCAAGCCUAAUACAUAAACAUCUUAUAUCAAUAUUCUUUUCAUCAAAUCACAUUAAGUUAAACAUGGCUGUUAAAAUUGAUUUGAUGAUCAAUAGUAUUCUAAUAUUGUUCUUUGUAGCUUGCAGGUUUAACUCUCAAGAUGCAAUUGCUCGCAGCCAGCCAAAACUAUCCAUGUCUGAGAGACACGAACAGUGGAUGGCACGUCAUGGACGUGUUUACAAGGACGAAGCAGAAAAAGGAAAAAGACUCAUGAUAUUCAAAGAAAACUUGAAAUUCAUUGAGUCAAUCAAUAAGGCAGGGAAUCUAUCUUACAAGUUAGGCAUCAAUAAAUUUGUAGAUAUAACUAUGAUUAAUGUCGUCGACAGAAUCCAUGAUUAAUGAUCUAACUGAUGAUGACAUUCCGUCUAACUUGGAUUGGAGAGACAAUGGAGCAGUGAUUCAAGUGAAGCAGCAAGGUCAAUGUGGUAAGAUGCAACAUAACAUUUUUAAUUAACUUAUGACUAUGUUCUCCAUGGCGAAUUUGGAUAAUAGUAAGAGCGAAAAAUUAGCUCAUGAUAAUAUGCAUGUCCAAGUUUGGUCAGCUUAAUAAUGGGUUAUUAUUGAUUCAACUCAUUUUGUCCUUCUCAAUUCAAACCAUCCAGAAGUUGGCUGAUUUAGGCAACCAUGUCAAAAUAUUUUAAUUUUUUUUAUUUAAUAUAUCAUAUAAGUAAUAUUCAUAUAAAAAAAUUUCUUCUUAUUUUCUAAUUAAGCAAACUAUAAAGAAAAAUUUCAGUAACUAAAAUUUAAUUAGAGUUGAACGGCUCGCAUUAAGACUCAUUGUUUAGCCUUUGGGCGGCCGGGUACCUAUCCGAAUUUCGUUUAUUCUGCCUAUUUGACACUCCUAAACUAGACAUGAUUCGUAGAAAUAACAAUCUAGCUCAAAAUAUAUAUAUGUGUGUGUGAGUGUAUGCGCGCGUGCGUGCACCUUUGAGUUAGCAAAAGAGAAAAGAGGUAGUCACAAUUCCCCCAUAUAUAUAUAUAUAUAUAUAUAUAUAAAGAACAUAAUUCACCAACCUGAAUAUUACUAGAUUUGCAACUGCAUAUGUAUCCUUGCUCUCAUUUACUCAUUCUUUCAUAAAUUUUAAUAUUAAUUAGCGAAUAUGCUACUUUUUUUUUUAUGUUAGGAUGUUGCUGAGCGUUUUCUGCAGUUGGAGCACUAGAAGGAGCCUACAAACUUGCAACAGGUCAAUUGCUUACACUCUCUGAGCAAGAACUUCUCGAUUGCACCACCAACAACCGUGGCUAUGGUGGAGGUUAUAUGACCAAUGCAUUUGAAUUCAUCAUACAAAAUGGUGGGAUCAAUUUCAACUCGAUCAAAUUAUCUGUCACAAUCCGAGUCGGGAUCCUGACCGCGAAGAGCAUCCCGAACCAUAGAGGUCCGGGAGUCCUUCUACAUCUGGUAAUCAUGCACAUUAUUCAUAAAAUAAUUAUAAGAUGCGGAAUUAUAAAUCGUUACGGAAUGAUGAUCAUAAUUUGAGUUUUGUUUAACAGUAUGGAAAUAAGUAAAACAACAUUUGAUUCAGUCUGGGAAAUCUCUACUACAUAUGAAACUAAUAAACUGUCUGAAACUGGGACAAGGCCCCCAGUGGACCUAAACCAUAGUAAAUAACAAAUGACUGAAAAGGAUUAGGCAACCCGGAGUAAAGAAGUCUCAUCAACUGCACACUUCUGUCUAAAUAAAUCUACGGUUUAACUGGACCUCUAGACUGAGCCUUAGACCCUGAAAUAUAGGGGUCAAUACAAUUGUACCGGUAUGCAGAGCAGUCCAAAAAAAUGCAUUUAUAUAUAUAAAAUAGGUGAGAGCAGGUCAUGAAACAUCAUGCAUGAUCUAAUUUAAAAUACAUGGGCAAAUCUUUGAUAAUCAUAAAACAAUCAUGUUAAUGUAGUUCUACUCUUCAUAUUACUUCUGAGUUAGGUGGUACACCCUACAAUUCCACGACCCCACGAGCUAUAUGAGUUCACCCUUGACUCAACAACCAAGCCCCCAACCCAAGUUUACCGCAAGGAUUAGAGUUUCUGAUUCUGAUACGCCACAGGGCACUAGGCCAACGUAUAAUCCCUCUUGGGGACAUAAUAACCGAUAUCGGCAAAACACGAUUUUGGGCAAUGAGUUGUCUGAACUCGUGCCUUCUUCGGGUAACCACCUAACAUCUCUUUAUGCCCAUUUUUAACCUUUUCUGAACAUGCUUAGUUCUAAGUUCAAAAUCUGAAAAUCUGCAUUCUGUUCUGUACUGAAUUAUCACGACAUUAUUUGUAUUGGUGUCGUCACAUCAAGACUUGCAAGUCGUAUAUCUAUGCCAUAAAGCGUCAGGUAUGAUUAUUUCAUUCUAAACAAUGUUCAGGCCACUUGAACAUGCAUAUUUCUAUUAUAUAGAAGAGAGGGUUUCGACAUGCCUGCUUGCUCCGCGAUUUUAUUAUAUCACCCCUAAUUAAUUAUUAUAAGUUAUUUAUAUAUUAAAAAAUUAAUAGUAUUUAAUUAAAAGAGAGGGUUACGACAUGCCUGCUUCAGUAGACUAUUUGCUCCGUAAUUUUAUUAUAUUACCCCUAAUUAGUUAUUAUAAGUUAUUUAUGCAUUAAAAAAUUAAUAAUAUUUAAUUAAAAAUAAAAUAGACAUUUAUGACAUGUCUGCUUCAGCUUCUUCAGUCAUGAUUUUACUAUAUCACCCUAAUUAAUUAUUAUAAGUUAUUUAUUUAUUGAAAAAUUAAUAAUAUACAAUAUGUGAUUUUAUUAUAUCGCUCAUAAUUAAUGAUUAUAAGUCAUUACGUAUUAAAAAUUAAUAAUAUUUAAUUAAAAAAAGAUAAAAUAAACAUUUAUGACAUGUCUGUUUUAGCUGCUUCAGCCGUGAUUUUAGUAUAUCACCCCUAAUUAAUUAUUAUAAUUCAUUUAUGUAUUAAAAAUUAAUAAUAUUUAAUUAAAAAAAAAGUAAAAUAGACAUUUAUGACAUAUUUGCUUCAGCUACUUCAACCAUAGUUUUACUGAAUAUCACUCCUAAUUAAUUAUUAUAAGUCACUUGAGUAUUAAAAAAUUAAUAAAAUAUAAUUAAAAAAAGGUAAAAUAGAUAUUAAAAUGAUAAAUUAACUCUUGAUGUUUUAAAUUAACUUGACGUCUUAUAUUUGGUUCACUNNNNNNNNNNNNNNNNNNNNNNNNNNNNNNNNNNNNNNNNNNNNNNNNNNNNNNNNNNNNNNNNNNNNNNNNNNNNNNNNNNNNAUUAUAAAUUACAAUAAUUAAAAAAUUAAAUUAUUUAAAAAAUAUAAUUGGCUAGCCACGAUAUAGAACUCUCGACAGGGAGAGUAACAUAUAUUAUUCAAAAAUUACAUAAAAGUAUUAUAAAUUACAAUACUUAACAACUUAAAAUAGCUAAAAAUAAUUUAAUCUGUUAAAUAUUUUUAAAAAAUACAUAAAAAAUACUAUAACUUAUAAUAAUUAACAACUUAAAAAAUUUAAAAGAUAUAAAAUAUUUGGUUGACUCCAAAAAUUAUAUCAGUGUCACUUAAAUUAAAAUAGAAGAAAAAUAUUAUAAAUCACAAUAAUGAAAAACUUAAAUUAUCUUAAAAGUAUAAUUCACUAUCAAUGCCACAAAAGCUUGGAUAAGAAAAACAACUAUAUUAUUUGAAAAUUACAUUUAAAAUAUCAUAAAUUCCAAUUAACAACUUAAAUUAUCUAAAUACAUAUUAAAAAUAUGAUUGAUUGUCUAAAUUCUAUAUGUGUCACAUAAAUUGAGAUAAAAAAUAACAUAUAUUGAACAUGUGCUAGAUCCUGGAUGAAUCUUAGAAUGUAUAUGCAAUCUUUUUUAAAAAAAAAACCUUUUGUUUAAAUAUAUCAAGAUUGAAAAGGCAAGUUCUAAUACAGCACACCAAACAGUAUAUAAGAAUUAAUGAGAGCAUAACUAAUACUAAUAUUACUAAUUCAAGCAUUAUUAAUGCAAACAUUACUAAUACGUUCUAUUCAAAAUUAUUUUUAUACACUCUAACAAACGACUCUUACGUUUCAAUAGAAGAAACAUAUACAAAAGCAAAGUUCGAUAAGACAUUGACAGAAGUAUGUUUUAUCUUAUUCUCAAAGUCAAAUAAGUUAAAUUGAUAUGAUGGAUGAUAACUUAUAAUUUUUUUUAUAAUUUUUGGAACAUUUAAAAUAUCCAUUUAAUUUAACUUCAAAGAACAAGUUGGCAAAUAAAAAGGAAGGAAAAAUGAAAGCAAAAGAUGUUUAUGUCGUCUUAGUCGGGGGAAUACAAUGUAAUUUUGGAUUAUUAAUUGCAACCACGUGUGAUUUAUUAUGCAAUGACUAGAUAGCCAUUUAUAUUUUUCAACAAUUAUUUCUAUUUUAUACAACAAGUGUCAAGUCUUAUGUAUUAAUUCUAAUCUCACAUUUUAUACUAAAUGUAGCAAAUCUCAGUUAUAUGAUUAAAGAUCUAAACUUUAAAAUGCAUCGAAUUUUUUUGUUUAUAUGAAUAAGUUAUACAUAAUUAUCUUGCAAGAUAAUUUGGCUCCUUGAAAAAUAUUAUAAAGUAGUAAUAUAUUUUGUGUAUUAAUUUUUUAUAAUUCAUAAUUCGAAUUAAUAUCAAUCUACUUAUCAUACAUAAUUAAAAUAUCUUACUAUUAGGCUCGUGCUGAUACGGAUCAUGCUGCUAUAGUGUUAUUAAUAAAGGAAAUAUAUAACAGAUAACAAAUGGGUUUAACCAUGGUUUAAAGGGGGUAUUUCAUUUAAAUAAUUAUAAACUGUUAGAUUAGAAAAUGGACAAAUGUAAGACGAUAAGCAUAUCACUGGACGAAUUGGAUAUUAGGGGCACUGGAGAGGAGGCUCGUCCAAGGAACUGAUCAUUCAGUAAUAAUUCCCUUCCCAAAAUAACCCAAUCAUCAUUUAUUAUACUAAAUGGCUGUGCAAAUCAAAUUUCUUUUGGAGUUAGAGCUGUAGCUAGAAUUGAAGUGUAAUUGUGUUUGAUCAUAAAUAUAAAUUGAAGUUAUUUUUGAAUUUUUGCGAGAAAAAUAAAAUUAAAAUAAGUAAAAUUUUCAAAUACAACUCGAAAUUGUAUAUGAAAUUCUCAUUGUCAAACAUCAACUUGAAAUUCUAUUUAAAAUAAAGUAAUAUUUCAUGAGGUAGUUCUAGCCUCUAGCAAGGCUAGAUGCAGGAAUAUGAGAAGCAGUAAAAGCGGAGAGCACCACCAAAUCUAAAAUUUGUCAUUAAAGAAUUUGGAGCUCAAAUUUUGAAAUUUGACUUGUAGCAAACAUGAUUCAAAAGAAUAAUAUAUUAAAGACACAAUUGAGAGAAGUUUGUGCCGAUAUUUUGGUACUGUUUAAUGGAGAUUUGAGAUGGUUGGGAUUGAGAAAAAAAAUCAAUUUUCUGUGGAAGAUAAACUACGACAAUCUCUCUCUGUAGGCCUCCAUUCCUAUUUUUCUUUUUCUCAUUUUUUAAACUUUUUUUUGUAUUUUUUCUUAUUUUAUAAUUGAAUAAUUAAUCAUAUUCUAUCCUAUUUAUUAAGUAUCAUUAAAUUCUUUAAUAGCCAUAUUAAUUUAUUUUAAAUAAGUUAUUAUAUUAAUUAUUAAUUAUUGUACAUAGAAUUGAAAAGCCAUUUCACUUGUGUCUUUUUUAUUUUUAGUCUCUUUUAGUUAUCUAUCUAUAAGUGUGUGUAUAAACAAAGUAGUGUGCUUUUUUUUAUUUUUUUUUUAAAUCUUUCUCUAAUUAUAAAAUAAUGAUAUCUCUUUAAUAUUUCAAGUGUUUUUUUAUAUAAAAUAUUUAUAAGGAAUAGCUAUUUUUUCUUAUAUACAAUGUAUUUGAAAAGAGUAAUUAUUCAUAACCCAUACCUCUUAAAUUAUACAUUCAAUAGUAGCCAUAACUCCCAUAAUUUUUAUGUCUAUAACUCCCAUACAUUAAUUAAUAAAUUUAUAAUACCUUAUGAUAUUCCUCUAUUUUACCUAUAUAAAUUCAUAUUUGUUCAUGAAGACUCCCUUCGAAACUAAUUUUUUUUCUUCUCCAUAUCUUUGUUUAUAAAUUUUAGCACGUAAUAAGGAGUAUAUGAAGGCAAACUAUUUUUUUCUUAAAUAUUCUCUCAUGUUUAUGUGUUUGAUACUCUUUCUUACUUUUAACAUUUUUUUUAACAUAUUUAUUAUCCUCCUACAAGUAAAUAUGGUCAUGAAAAUCAAUAUUAAGGUAAUUUUAUAGUAGUGCGAUCAUUUUUUUUUUAAAAUGUAUAAUAUAGUUUAGAUUUCUUUCCUCUUUUCUAUAUAAUUUUUUAUUGAUAUAUUUGGAAUAAAAAUAUUGUAAAUAUCAUAUAUAGUGCAGUAUCAUAAAUAUUUCAUUCUCAAAUAUUCUUUCAUGUUUAUGUAUUCAAUAUUCUUUAUUAUUUUUAAUAUUUUUUUCUUACAUAUUUGUUAUCCUCCUCCAAGUAAAUAUGAUCAUGAAAAUCAAUAUUAAGGUAAUUUUAUAGUAGUGCGAUCUACUUUUUUCUUAUGAUAUAUAAUAUAGUUUAGAUUUCUUUCCUCCUUUUUAUGUAAUUUUUUUAUUGAUAUAUUUGAAAUAAAAAUAUUAUAAAUAUCAUAUAUAGUGCAAUAUCAUAUUAACAAUUGUCACAUUCUUAUGUUUUAUAUUAUUAUAAUUAAUUUAUUUAUUUUAUUUAUUCACAACUUCGACUUAAUUUACUUGAUUUUCAUAAUUAAUAAUUAAUAUAAUAACUUAUUGACAAUAAAUUAAUAUGAUUGUUACAGAAUUUAAUGAUACUUAAUAAAUAGGAUAGAAUAUGAUUAAUUAUUCACUUAUAAAAUAAGAGAAAAUACAAAAGAAAAGUAAAAAAAAUGAGAAAAAAAUAGGAAUGGAGGCCUUAGAAGUAUGCCACAUCAACAUGUUUUUAAGCCUCCUUUAUAUACAUACAUCAAUAUAAAAAAUUCAAGAUGUAUAAUAUAGUUUACAUUUCUUUCCUAUUUUCUAUGUAAUUUUUUUUAUUGAUCUAUUUGGAAUAGAAAUAUUAUAAAUAUCAUAUAUAGUGCAAUAUCAUAUUAACAAUUAUCACAUUCUGGUAUUUUAUAUUAUUAUAAUUAAUUAUUUUAUUUUAUUUUAUUUAUUUAUUCAUAACUUUGUGACUUACUUUGUUUCAUUUUGAUAACUUUUAAAAAUAUUUAUUCGAUGUGUAAAAGAAUGCUAUCAUAAGCGAAUAUACACUAAAGGCACAAGAUAGAAAUUAUAAUCAACAUUUGCAUAGAAUAUUAAGUACUCCUACAAAAGACAGAGGUUACAACAGAAAAUAAUAUUUUUAAUUUAAUUCAUAGAUUAUGAUUUCAAAAUGACUUCUUAUUCCAUUUACUUCCUCACUCAUACAUCCUAAAUUAUUUCUUCUAUUAUGUAUAUAUAAAAAAGUAGGUACUUAAAAAGGAGCAAAGGAUUUUAAUUUUUAUUAUUGAAAAAAAAAAUAUUAUGUCUCAAAUUAAGAGCAAUAACGAUCUAAAGUGUCUUGACCGGAAUAUUAAUAUUAUAUACUACUUCAUACACAAAAUAGUGAAAUAUAUUCAUUUACUAAAAUUUUUAUAGCCGGGCGAAGCGCAGUUAAUUUCACCAGUGUAUAAUUAAGGUAUAACUAUGUGUGUGUAUAUAUAUAUAUAUAGUUAUACAUCAUAUAUAUACGAUUAUAUACUAUUUAUACAAUAAUGAUACAUUAUAUAUAUACAUAGUCAUUUAGCGGGGGCCGAAUAUAUAUUUACUUAAGAAGCCCUUGGUACUAUUACUCUCCCUGUUCUAUAUUACUUGUUCACUUUCUCCUUCACACAUCCAGAAAUCAUAAAUUAUUAGAAUGAUACUUUUACUAUUUUACCUUUAAACUCUUUUUCAUAUACUCAUGUGUCUUAUCCAUCAAUAACCAACAAUAGAUGAUUUUUCUUUUUACAUUAUUUAUACUUUUAAAAUUUAAUUUGUUAGCUAUGUUCAAAUUGUAAGAGGUCAAGAACUCUUAUUUUUUGGUAAUGCGUCAUUAAAUGCUUCGUAGCUAACAAGUUUUUUUUUUAGAGAUUUGCAAAACUAAUAUAAUCACUAAAUUUAAAUAAUGUCACUAAAUUGUUUGUAGCUAUGAUCUUUUUUUGGUAACAUAUUUUUUUUUUUGGAAAGAUUUACAAAAUCAUUUUCUUCUAUUCAAAUCAUAAGAGGUCAAAAAAUCUUAUUUGCUCUGAUCAUAUUUAAUUACAAAUCUUCGUGCGACAAGAUUACAAUUUUGAUGGCACCACAGUUUUUGAGUUCUCGGAUUCAAGUAAAAUCAAAAUCUCAAUAAAAUAUAAAAAGUAGUUGAUUGUUCACAUUUUAAGCACUACGACACACAUUCAUCACUCUGUGCAAACAAAGCAUGACAAGAUCACAAGCUUAUCACUUUCAUCAUACCAUUAACCAUGCCAUAUAAAGACAAGUAUGCUGUGUACAUUUAAGAAGCUUAACACAAUCCAUUUUCUAAGUAUUCAAACCUAGCUUCUGUUUUUUGACAAAAAGAAAAGCUUAGCUUUUUUUUUUUUUCUUUUUUUCUGAACUUUCAAUGAUAUACCUUUUAAACUAGAAUGCCAACCAGGAAAUUAUUUCUGGCUUUGUUAUCUUCCUUUGCUAUUCUUCUUUUUUUCUUCUUUAUAUCAUUUAGUAUUCGCUUAAAUUUUUCAUCAACCACUUCCUUAAGCAAUAAUACUAUUUUAUUACCAGGAGCGACCCAGAUGAACACACAAUUUACCCUCUUAAUAGGAAUUUUUACACGACCAGGAAAUUUUGAUAGGCGACGUUUCCUUCGUCUUGUGUAUGGAAUUCAAUCCACCCCAAUAGCUCAUAUUGAUGUGAAGUUCAUUUUCUGCAACAUCACCAAUACAGAACAACAAUUUUUUGUCGCUUUAGAAAUCAUGCGUUUUAAUGACAUUAUCAUACUCAAUUGCUCGGAGAACAUGAAUAGUGGCAAAACUUAUACUUAUUUCUCUACUCUUCCUCAAAUACUUGUCACUCAUUAUGACUAUGUCAUGAAGGCUGAUGAUGAUGUUUAUUUGAGGCUUGCACCAUUAGCAUCAUCACUUCACCCAUUACCUAGAGUUGAUCUAUAUUAUGGCUUUGUUAUACCUUGUCCUAGCAUGAACGCGUUUGUGCAUUAUAUGUCUGGAAUGGGAUUUGUUUUAUCAUGGGACCUGGUGGAAUGGAUCGGGAGAUCAAACAUUCCUGUGAAUAAUACAUAUGGACCAGAAGAUAAGUUGGUUGGUCAGUGGCUAAAUCUGGGAAAUAAAGCAAAAAAUAGAUUUUCAGCCAAGCCAAGAAUGUAUGAUUAUCCUGGAACUAAUGGAAGAUGUUCGCAUGAGCUUAUCCCAGAUACAAUAGGUGUUCAUCGACUAAAGAAGUGGGAGCAAUGGAUAGACGUUCUAAGAUUUUUUAAUGUGACUAAACAACUACAACCUUCACGUCUUUACAAUGUAUCAUUUGAUUGAUAAAUUUAUAUUUUCUUGCCUAUGUUGUUUUCAACCAUAUAAUCAAAGAUGUUGAAUGAUAGGUUAUUAUUUAUCUCCCUCCUUCUUUAUGCUUUACUAUUAUAACUUUUAUUCUUACUAUUUCAGUUGUAUACAUUAAAAGUAAAGUGUUAUGAAAUAUACAAAAGAACAAGAAGAAUAAAUAGAGAGAGAAGAGGGAGACUUCUUUAUAUCUCUUGAGGCAUGAGAGAUCAGCUAAUUUGUGAAUAUAAUGAACAAAACCUCCUCUAUUUAUAGGGGAAAAUAUUCCUAUUUUCUGACUAAAAGACAUAUACUUCAAAUCCUGAUAGAUAUUAACUAGAUCUUGAUAGAUCUUAUUAAAUCUUGAUAGACAUUCACUAUAAUAUAAAUACAUUUAUAAAACUCCCCCUUGAAUGUAUAGAUAGAUAAUGUGCCUCGUUAAAACCUUACUAAAAAAAUCCAGUGAGAAAAAAAAUGAAAAAGAGUACACAUCUCUAACAAUACGCAUAUAGGCUGCCUCAUUAAAAACCUUACAAGGAAAACCCAGUGGGAAAAAACCUCAUAAGGAAAAAAGAAUACAACGCGUAUCAACUCCCCCUAAUGGAAACAUCCUUGAACCUUUGCACCCCAAUCUUGUACAGUAUCUUCUUGAAAGUUGCAAUUGGAGAAGAUUUGGUGAAUAAAUCAUCCACGUUAUCACUUGAACGAAUCUGUUACACGUUAAUAUCACCAUUCUUUUGUAGCUCAUGUAUGUAGAAAAGCUUUGGCAAAAUGUGCUUCGUUCUAUCUCUUUUUAUGAAUCCUCCAUUAAGAUGUGCUAUGUAUGCUACAUUAUCUCUGUAUAAAAUUGUGGAUACAUUGUCACCUUUCAAACUAGAUUUUUCUCGAAUGAGAUGUAUCAUGGACCUCAAUCAUACACAUUCUCGACUUGCUUCAUGAAUAGUUAUUAUCUCAGCAUGAUUCGAUGAAGUGACUACGAUAGACUGCUUUGUAUAUCUCCAAGAUAUGAUAGUAUCCCCACAUAUGAACACAUAGCCAAGAUGCACCCUUUCAUGUCACUUAAUAAAUGUUUCUACGUCAACAUACUUAUAUUAACAUAGAAUUCAGCUCCUCGUAGUUUUUUACAAUAUUGCACCAAUAUUGUAUCAAAGAUAUCAUUGAUGAUAUAUCAUUUCGUAUCGGUUCACAUUUUGACAUAACAUUUUGAGAUCUCAUUACUUCAUUAUUUUCAGGUACCUGAACCUCUCAUAAGGUUUCAUGAAGUGUUAUGCCGUAGGCUCUUAAGAACACAUUGCCUUCUUAUUAUGAUUAUUUGCUCCUUAUUCUUUUCAAGAAUUAUUUCAUUUGGAACAGAUUGGUUUAAUGCAUUUUAUGUAUGCGUAACCUUUGUCCUCAGGGACACACUAUAGGAGCACUUGCAGCUUAAAUAUGAAAUUAAAUUUGAGUCGACAAAUGCUUCCGACAUUUGACUUGAAUUAUCUUUUGAAUGAGGAUCUGAUGAUAAUUCCUAACAUAUUUCACAGCCGCUUAUAAUCUCCCCCUUAUGUUAGGAAACUAGCAUACAUCCUCCAUUUGAUUUGACAAAUCCAUCAUGGUAUAUUCAUUAAUUGUAUACCGCACAUCAACUAUUAGAUGGAAUAGUUGGUUCUUGAUCUUGAGCCAAUUGAAAGGGAAGAAAUAAUCAUAAUUUAUUGGUCUAAUGCAUACAAGUACUAUUGUAUGCGACAUAUCAUAUUUCAGACCAACACAUGAAGAUUUAUUCUCAUUAACAAUGAUUUAGCUAUUUAUUGAAGGCAUUCAAUGUUAAACCAUCAUCAUUAAGAUGAAUUGUCUUGAUUGCACAAUCUAAAAGUUAUGCUCUUAACUCAAUUUUACUGAGCAAACAACUUUAUGAAUGUCAAACUGCAGGUUGACAAUAAAUGUACAUGUGAUUAUCUUAUUGAUGCUUCUUUUCAAUAUAUCACAUGAUAGGUGAACGAGCCCUUAUUUACCUUUUAUACUUUUCAGAUUUUAAGGGAUCCAAUCCCAAUAUUAGUUGGUCCAACCAACUUAUCAUGAGAACAAGUGACAUAAUCAAUUCUUGAAGAAUCUUCUAGUUCUUCAAUACAUGUCUAAUACUCAAUGUGCACAUCUUCGAGAUGUCACAAUUGUUCAUAUCAACUUAUGAACUCAUUUAUAGUAGUAAACACGGGUUUACCAUGACAAGUAUUUUUUUUUCUUUAAUAAAUUUCAGAUUUACUAUUUUCUUUAAUAAAUUUCAGAUUUACUAUUACAUGAAUAAAUUUCAAAUUUACUACUUUAGAAGUAGACUUAUUUGGAGGUGAGUUGUGAUACCAUCACAAUCAAGUGCACGUUUGCAUUAAUAAGUUUCUCAUUUCCCAGGAAUGGAAUAUAAUCGUGCCUUAAGCUUAUCAAAUUCUAAUAGCUUGUAACCGUUUUUACAAUAUUGCUACUUCAUGAGUAAAUCGAGGCAUAUAUCAUAUAUUGCUACCUCAUUCCCUUCAUGGAUUGGAGCAUAUUCAAUGAACAAGUUUCAUGACUUUUCACCAAAAACACAUUAUUUUACCUAAGCCAUCAUAAUAUCAUCAAUAUGGUGCAUUGAGAUUCAAACUCAACGUCUCACCCAUAUAAAGGCGUCUUAAGCAUAAAUCAAUGGGACUUGAACCCAACAUAUUAUCAUAUAAUAUUAUUCUUGAGAAUAAAUUUAAAACGUAAAUGGUUCCAAACCAAUUAUUUUUUCCUCAAAUCCAACAAUGAUUAUAUUAGCAAAAAAUAAAUAACAUAAGGAAUUACUAACCUUGAAAUAAAUGAUAGUAAAAAGAGUCAACAGAAAAAAAAAACUUACCUAUUUAUUAUAACUACACUACCAGAAAAUCUCUAUUUUCCAACUGAAAAAAGUAGUUGAAAAUUUCUGACUACUUCGAUCCGAAAAUGCACUUUUUUAUUUUUAUUUUUUACAAAAUAUUAUUCCGAUAGUAUUUGUGACUACAAAAGUUAGAAUAUUUGGUGGAAAAUUGCGGGAAAUGUAUAUUCUGACUACUGUACUGUAGUCGAAAAUAAAAAUAAUAAAGUAAAUAUAUUACUAAAUAUAUAAUCAAGCCCUUAUACAGAAAUUAAAUAAUUAAUAUAUAAAUUAUUAAAUAUUUAUUUUCGACCAUCGUAGUAGAAAAUUAAAAAAUUAAAUAAAUAUAUUAUUAAAUAUAUAAUCAGACCAUUAUACAAAAAUUAAAUAACUAAAUAAAAUUUUUUUUUCGACUACUGGAGUCAAAAAUAUUAAUAAUUAAAUAAAUAUAUUAUUAAAUAUAUAAUUAGAUCCUUAUACAAAAAUUAAAUAAAUAAUUAAAUAUGUAUUUUCGAAUACUGUGGUCAGAAAUAUAAAUAAUUUAAUAAAUAUAUUAUUAAAUAUAUAAUUAGACCCUUAUAUAAAAAUUAAAUAAUUAUUUAAAUAAAUAGUUAAAUAUGUAGUUCCGACUACUAUUGUCAGAAAUAUUACACAAAUAAAUAAAUUAAUUACUAAUAUAUAUUCAGAAUGGUUAGCGGGAAAUUGCGGGAAUUGUACAUUCCGACUACUUAGUCAGAAAAAAAAAGAAUAAAAUAAAUAUAUUACUAAAUAUAUAAUUAUUUAUUUAUACGGAGAUUAAAUAAUUAAUUACAUAAACUAUUAAAUAUUCUUUUCUGACCACCGUAGUCGAAAAUAAAAAUAAUUAAAUAAAUAUAUUAUUUAACAUAUAAUCAAACCCUUAUACAAAAAUUAAAUAACUAUUUAAAUAAAUUAUUAAAUGUAUUUCUGACUACUGUAGUCGAAAACGUUAAAUAAUUAAUUUUAUUAAAAUAGGUACCGACUGAAGUAGUUGGAGAUGUUAUUAUAUAAGUUAUGAGUCGUCCUUUCUAAGCCACUUUCUCAAUUCUCUCUUACUCUCUAACCCUCCUGUCUCUCUAAGCUACGGCGCUACAUCGACAACGACGACGAUAUUGGUCGACUGUUAACGACGACGACAAUGACGGAAUUGGUGAAGUCUUAACGGAGCCAGCGACCACAACAUUUUUAAGUUGGAAGCUGCCUAGAGGUGUGAUUUUCCUCUAAGACAGAUUUGCUUCUACUUAUGAUUUUUGUUCUAACACAAAUUUACUUAUGUUUUCUUUAGUUAUUCUGUAGAGAACAAAGAAGAUUUUUUCUUUUACUCUCAACAGGUAAGAAUUUUUGCCUUUUCUCGAAGCCUCGUUGUCAUUCUUAGUAGUCUUCUUCUCCAUUUUUAAUUUUUGUUUAAUUUUCGAUUGAAAAAAAGAUGAUAAGGAAUUCGCACACUAAAUUUAUAUUUUUUGAUUUCUGGAAUUUGCACAAUAAACUGUUGGUUUACUAAUUUCUGGAUCUAAUUAAGCAAUACCUACUGUUUGACGAUUGAUAGAAGCAGAAAUGCUAAUAGGUAUGGGAUAUCUGCUGGGCAGGAGGUACUACUAUUGUUAUUAACCAUUUUUGUCUAUAAUGUGCAUAAAUUAAUGGCAUAGCAAUAAUAUUUUGAGCCUAUCUUAUUUCCCUGCAAAGCUGCUUUGGAUUGUAACUUUGUUGUUUGAAGUGUGACUGCAAAGUUGUUUCUCCACUUAUAAUUCUAUGCUAAAUAUAAGGUCAAAUAGAUUGUGGUUAGGUAAACAGAUAUAGCUAUACUAGUCGAGCCUAACACAUCAAAUCAGUAUUAAGUUCAUUUUUAGUAUUUGUAGUCAUGUUCUCCGUUCCAACAAAGAGUGUAUCAUGAUCCACUUUUGAUCGUUGAAUGAACCUUAUGCCAUCAUUUUGUUGAAUUGAUUGGCUUGUUUGUUGUUCCAUAAGAAAAAAAAAGAAUGUUGUAAUAAGUUUCUUAUGCUUGGUUUGUCUCAAGAUCAUCUACUUUGUAUAGAUUUGUAUUUAGCUAAAUGUAUUGUCUCUUUAAUAAAUGGAAGUGUGUUUGUAUAUUAUUUUUAUCUUUGUUUUUGAAAAAAAGUUUGUGAACUGGAGAUGGUUACAUGUUGAGUUAAUGAUCGAUUCUAUUUGCUCAUACGUGCAUGUAUUUGAAUUUGUAAAUCCAUAUCGCAUGACAGGCAGAUUUUUUUGGUGAAAAUGACAUAUGCAUCAUUUUUCAAAUGAACUUGUCAUGAUCCUCAUUCAUAUGAUUAAACUCUAUACUACGCAGAAAAAUAGAAACAAAAGAAAGAAAAAACCUCUUAUUUCUCUAUGCAAAGAAAGUGACUUUUGGGUGUAUAAACAGGAAACAUGAAAGGAACAAUGAGUUGGCUGACUAAGUCAUUGUCUUGUAUAAGGAGCGAUUCUUCUAUUGAACAAGGAAGAGAUAAAUUAUAAGCUAAGGUUACUGAACUGUGGCAAGUUAGACAAUCUUUCGUGUUUUCUCUCUUUAAAUACGUAGCUCACUAUAUGAACAUAAAUUAAAAAAAUGGUACCCAAAUAUGACAACUACCAUUUUCUUUUUAAACAUUUUAUUAUUCCAACAUGAUAACGUAAAAGAAAAAAAAAACGUGCAGCAAUUGUAUACUGGAAUCUAAAAGAAAAGGAAAACUUGUAGAAGUUAACUACUACUCCAAUUAACAAUCCCAUGUCUUUUCUUUUUAUUUUCUUCUUUUAAAUUCUAUACCUCAUUUGCUUGUCUCCCUUUAUUCCUAUCUUUUAUCUUGUUUGUGAAGCUAUCACAUGGAUUGGAUUCCUUUCACUGAUAAAAAAGUUAUUCUUUUAAUUAAAAUAUUCUAUUGUUGUUGGGUACUUUACUAUGUUGUAUUGAACCUCUUAGUUUUCUGCUUGUGUUCACUGCAUAGUAGCAUCACUAAACAACCCUGUUAUUGUUUUGUUUCUCUUGUUUUUAUUUUUCUUCUCUAUUAUUAUUGUUGUCGUUCUUGUGUAGAUGGGAAAUGAAGAUUGUACAUGGAUGUAUAAUAGACUUUAUCCUAACCGUGCGGGGUUGAGGGAGGAAUAUAAAGCUGGGGUAGCUGAAUUUAUUGUUAAAGCAAUGACACUUAAUGAUUUUGUUAUUGAAGGGACAAUUAGGUGUCCUUGUUGGAAUUGCAAAUGUUGCAAGUUAUUGAGUCCAAAUGAUGUUACGUUACAUCUUUAUAGGAAGGGUUUUAUGUUGAAUUAUACUGUGUGGACAACUCAUAGAGAGAAUAGUGCUGUUAAUAAUUUUUCUUUUUAGAAUUAUGUUGAAAGUCCAAUAAGAGAGAAUAAUGUUGAAAGUUCACGAUAUAGUGAGAUGGUCACGGAUGCUUUUGGAACACACUCAGGGGCUCAAAAUGAACCAAAUUAUGAGGCUAAUCACUUUUAUGAACAGUUAAAGGAAGCUAGUCAUUCAUUGUAUGAAGGAUUAGUGCAUUCUAAGUUAUCUGUUGUCGUUUGAUUACUGAGUAUUAAAUCAAAUUAUUCUAUUUCUCAAGAGGGCAUGAACUCUAUCAUUGGACUUAUGAAUGAACUUAACCCAAAUAAACUUGACUUACCCAAAGAUUUCUACACAACAAAGAAGUUGGUUUCUAAGUUAGGACUUUCAUUAGAGAGGAUUCACUGUUGCAAGAGAGGUUGCAUGUUAUUCUAUAAAGAAGAUUUAAAUUUAGAACAUUGUAAAUUUUGUAAUCAGCCUCGUUAUAAGGAAGUCACACAUGCCAAAGGGAAGAAAGUUCCUGUGAAGUCGAUGUAUUACUUACCUCUUAUACCCCAGUUAAAGAGGUUGUAUGCAUCAAUGAGUUAUGACCCUAAUAUGAGAUGACACUAUGAAAAUAAAAGACCACCUGGUGUUUUAUGUCAUCCGUCAGAUGGAGAAGUAUGGAAGCAUUUUGAUAGUGUAUUUUGCUAGUGAACCAAGAAACAUUAGGAUGGGAUUAUCUACUGAUGGAUUCACUCCAUUUUCUAUCUCAGCUACACCAUAUUCAUAUUGGCCAAUGUUUGUGACUCCUUAUAAUCUCCCGCCUGAAUUGUAUAUGACGAGUCAGUAUAUAUUUCUAACUUGCAUAAUUCUAGGUCCUCGCAAUCUAAAAGUUUUGAUUGAUGUAUACCUGUAGCCAUUAAUUGAUGAGUUGAACUUAUUAUGGCAUGAAGGUGUGGAAGCAUAUGUUGUAUCAAUGAAAUAAAACUUUAGAUUGUGUGCUACUUUGAUGUGGACUAUAAAUGACUUUCCUGCUUAUGGAAUGAUGUCUGGGUGGUCGACUGCGGGCAAGUUAGCUUGCUCUUGUUGUAUGGAAGACAUAAAAGCAUUCACUUUGAAACAUGGGGGUAAAAACUCAUGGUUUGACUGUCACAGUCGAUGCUUGCCAAUGAAACAUGAGUUUAGGAGAAAUACUAGUGAUUUUAUGAAGAAUAAGACUGAUUUUAAGGAACCACCGCCAAUUUUGUUACGAGAACAAAUUUGGGAUAGAGUGAGGAAUCUGCCUAAGGUAACAGAGUCUCCACCAUCCAGGAUACCUGGUUAUGGUAUUACACAUAACUGGACUAAACAAAGUAUAUUUUGGGAGUUAGAUUAUUGGAAGGAUAAUCUUCUGCCUCAUAAUCUGGAUCCCAUGCAUGUUGAGAAAAACUUCUUUGACAACUUGUUUAAUACUAUGAUGGAUGUAAGUAACAAAACAAAAGAUAACUUGAAGGCCAGAAUGGACUUAAAGGAGUAUUAUCGGUGUAGUGAGUUGUACCUGACAUACUUAAACAAUAAGCUUCAGAACCCCAAGGCUAGUUACACAUUCACUUUAGAGGAUAGAAGAGUGAUUUGUGAUUGGGUUAACAAUUUGAGAAUGCCAGAUGGAUAUGCAUCAAAUUUAUCUAGGUGUGUUGACAUAAAGAAAGGAAAGUUGACUUCUAUGAAGAUCCAUGAUUGUCACAUUUUCAUGGAGUCAUUGAUGCCUAUUGCAUUUUGUGCAUUGCCCGAUAGAAUUUGGAAGCCCAUAACAGAGAUAAGCUUAUUUUUCAAAGAUUUAUGUUCUAACACAUUAAGGGAGGAGAACCUAUCUUUGAUGGAUAUCAACAUUCUCUUAACCUUAAAAAAGUUGUCAAAAAUUUUUCCUCCAUUUUUUUUAUGUUAUGGAGCUUCUUCCAAUUCACCUUGUGCGAGAGGCACGACUUGGAAGGCCUGUUCAGUGUCGAUAGAUGUAUCCCUUUGAGAGGUAUUGACUUUUAACAUUUAAUUGAACAUUAUUUCAUCUAAAAUAUCAUACUAUGCAAGACUAUUGGCAAAUGUAAGCGGACCAUAAAAAACAGAUCCCGAAUUGAGGGAUCAGUAUGUGAGGCUUAUUUGGCUAAAGAGACCUCUUAUUUUUGUUCAUAUUAUUUUGAACAUGAUGUACCAUGUCUGAGAAAAAAACUUAAUAGGCAUGAUGAUGGAGACAAUACAGAUCUUUUGGCACCACCAUUUUCAAUAUUCAAUCAACCAAGCAAAGGAAGUCCGAAAGGUGGUCCGGUUUGAUAUUUGAAUGAGGCGGAGCUAAACUCAACUACAACACAUGUAUUAUUAAAUUUUCCCAAGGUCCUUACUUUUUAUAAGUGAGUAUAUUUAUAUUAAGGACAAUCAUUCAAGGUCUAUCUAAGCUUUAACUAAUGAUAGUCAUAACUUUGUCGGACAACUACUUCGUGGUUUUAUACGGGGAUGCUAUUGUUUAUCCUAUGUUUUCAGUGUGGUUUAGAGAAUAUGUAAGUGUAACUUAAAUAUUUAACACGAUUUACACUUCUGUUCAAUCUCAUGUAUAUUUAAAUUCUUACUCUUUUUAAACUUUUUAUAGGUUCAUAAUCUACUUAAUUAUGACCCAAAUGGCCAAUUUUUACGUGAUAUAGCUUGGGGACCUGAUGAUAAAGUCAGAAAGUUUUCGAAGUACUCUGUCAAUGGGUAUAGAUUUCAUAUAAAAGAGUUAUCUAAGGGUAAGAAAACCAACAAUAGUGGGGUUUGGGUAAAAGGUGAUGGCGGUGUUGAUUAUUAUGGUGUGCUUCACGAGAUUUUAGAACUCAAUUAUCAUGUUGGUUGGCCGAAGAAAAAAUUGGUUCUCUUUCGGUGUAAGUGGUAUGAUCCUACGUUUAGGUUAGGUACAAAGGUGCACCCUCAGUACAAAAUAGUUGAAAUUAAGCGUACAAGGGAGUAUGGACUCUAUGAUCCAUUUGUCAUUACACAUUACGCUCCUUAUCCUUUGAAAUAGAAUAAAUCUGUAUGGCGGGUAGUUAUAAAAACGAAGCCCGUGGGUAGAGUUUUAGUGGAGGAUGCAUUAGAUAUAGCGUAUCAAAAUGACAUUUCAAGUGUUGAAGAAAGGGUGGAUGAUGAAUUAGCAGGUGAGUUGCAGCACGAAGGCCUAUAUAAAGAUUUUGAUCCUUCUAAACUUAGAUUAAAUGUUCAUGAUUAUGGAGAAGGAACAUCUGGGGUAAAUGACGAGGAAGAUCCAACUGAUGAAAAUGAAAUAAGCGAGGAAGAGUUACUUGAUGAAAAAGAAAUAAGUGAUGAGGAAGAAUUGAUUAAUGAAUAUGAAACAAGUAAUGAGGAAGAAUUAAUGAAUGACUAUGAAACAAGCGACGAGGAUUAAGUUGUUAUUAAUAGUACUAAUGUGUUGUAACAAGGUUUUGAACUAUAUUUUAGCUACUAAUUUUUGCUAUUUUCUUGACAAUAUAGUGUCUUUUCUUUGUUAACAUUUGUAGUGCCAGUAACUAUGCAACAUGAUUUGCUUGUCUUGUUGCAUUUUCUUAUUACACUGCACUCAUUUGUAUGCUUGUUCUAUCUACAUAAUAUGGAAUCGGACUGCUUCCUCCUUUCAUACAGGCAUUUGGUUAUUUGCUUUCAAGUUUUCUAUGUAUUAGCAGUUAAUAUUGAAUUAUUAACAAACUUUGACUAUUAAAUAUCGAAAACUGACAGAAAAGACAAGCAUUGACUUAUUGAUUCAGAAUUAUCGAACCUUUACUUUAAUUGUUUGGAACAUUGGAUUGAAAACUGAAUUGCAUGGACUCUAGAUGACCAGUUUCUGAGGAAACUAGUUGGAUUGUUAGAGUCACUACAGAAAAAAGAAAGAUUAGGUCCCUAUUUUUAUGCAGGCUUGCUCCAUGCCCCUUGCAUUAUCAUAAUAAGACCAAGUAUUAAACCACUAUUACCAAUUAGCAGACAUGGUAAAACAUGUAGGUCAAAUAUAUCUUGAAACCCAUCUGGUGUGCCUUAAUCUUGUUAGAGGCACCAUAAUAGCCUUCUUAAGGUUGGAAGACAAGCUUAAGAGAGUUACUCCAUCUCAAUUUUUUAGUUUGAUAACAUGGUGUCCAAGCGAGCUUUCAUGCACCUUGACUAAAUGCACGGGAUAUCUAGGACAUAUGGGAAGAAUCACCUAGUUUAUUUUUUGUCUCUGCUGGGAUUUAAACCUGAAAUCUCAGGUUCUCAACCCACUUCUUUGACCACUAGGCCACACCUUUGGGUGCUACUUCAUCUCUAAUUAGUAGUGAUUCUUCUUGCAUUUAAUUUAACCCUCUUAUUUGGAAGGAAGCUAUUCCAAGCAACGUAAUAGCCUGACCCUGAAUUUUCUAUAAAAAUUCUAAAAGCCUAUCAUAAUUUGGAAAGGGUAAUAUGGAUUGAAUGACUUAUUACUUUAUUUAUCUCAUGGAUUUUGAACAUAAAGAAAGCAAUACAACAUAUCCCUCUAUCCAUAUCCAAAGCUUUAUCCUUGACUACAAAUAACAACUACGUGCGACGAAAUAGAAAAGCCUACAAUGAGAAGAAAUAUACAACAACAUACCCAAAGUGGGGUCUGGGAAGGGUAGAAUGUAUAAAGGGUGUACCACUACCUGAGGUAGAAAGUUUGUUUCUGAUAGACCCUCGAAUGAGAAGAAAUAUGUGAAAUAAAAGUCAUGUCAAUUUUGAAAACACUCACCUAGUUUCUUGUCAACAAUUAGUGGUGUUGUUUAUUAUGAAUGAUAUGAUGCAUUUAAUUAUUACUAUGAGGCUACUACAGAUCUUACUUUUUGUAAAGUAUUAUCAAUUAUGUAAUUAUUAUUAUCAACUUGUUAGUUUAGUACACAAAUAAAUUUCAUACAGCUAUAAUUUGGUUAUUGCUAACUGUUUACCUAACAUCUAGGUAUAAGUUAGUUAUAGCAGCCAAACUUUUUUCUUCUUGAGGACUGUUUUCAUGUUUGAUGUUUGACUAGAAAAAGAUGGAGUACUAUUAUUAGUAAAUGAAUUUAGCUUUUUUUUUUAGAUGUAGCUUUAGUUUAAGGUAUCCUAAGUUUUAUUAUAUAUUUGUGCAGGACUUUUCUAAUCUUCAUUCAAUUUUUUUUAUUCAUAAGAAUAUUAUAAAAUUGAUCUAGUACUUAAUUUUAGACCUCUUUAUCUGUUAUUUUUCUUUCUCAUUUCUAAAGUAAUUAGCCAGAGUACUUCUAUUUCAUUUUCUUUUUCUAUUUUAAAGAAAUGGAAGAAGAUAAAAUGCCAAAAUGAUUCUAAGACUAAAGUGCCCAUUGUAACUCAUAAUUUUUUUCCACUUCUGCACCUAAUUUCUUCUUCCCUCUAUCUUUGACAUUUUCUGCACCUAACUCCUAUUCAAUAAAGUUUAUCAGGCAAUAAGAUUGAAAAAGAUGGCAUAAUACAUAAACAUGCCCUUUAACUUGGACUCAACAUGGGUUUUCUAUCCUCCAACUUUGGGUGUGCACAGGCAGACACUUAAACUUGUAUAAAGUUGAACAAGUAGACACAUGCAUUCUAUACGGCGUCUCACAUGAAUCGUUUCAGAUAGAAUGCAUGUGUCUACUUGAUCAACUUUAUAAUAGUUUAAGUGUCUACUUGUGCACACCCAAAGUUGCGUCCAAGUUAAACGGCACGUUAUGUACUAUGCAAAAAAAAGAUCUUGUGACUUUUGUUUUCAUUCUCUUCUAUCCAUUCCUCUUGUCACUGCAUAAAUCAAAGAGCAAUAGACCAAAAAAAAUUAUUGGAGGAUACACCAUACAGUCACACACUAGAGAAAACUCAAUUAAAAGAAGAAAUAACCAAAUGCUUCCUAGUCCUGCAUCAGUGUGGGUAUUAAUGAAAGGUACUUAUUCUAAUGAGUUCACAGCCUUGUUUUUAUACUCUAACUCUUUGAUGGUGCUUUGAUCUCUUGUUGUCUAUUGUUUGCUAUAGCUAACUCCUGUAUGAGUAAUUAUAUAUUUGUAACUCAUUUGCUAAAUCUGUUGUUUAUGUUGUUAUAUUGUGGUUCUAUUUUUUCCAGGUGCUUAAUAAAGAAAAUCAAUGGCAUCAAAAGUUCAUGGUAAUGGACAGCAUAAGAAAGGUAAGAAAGGAACUAAUAAUCUUCCCAUAGGUCAAUAUACAGCACCACCACCACCACCACCGCCCCACCAGUUCCAACCUUCUUCUCCCCACAAUAGUCUGCAUAGUAUCUCUUCAUCUGUACCUUUAAUAUCAUCCACACCUAGCCUUUUUGGAUUGAUAAUUGGAGGUACUAGCACAUCAACAUCGCCAUCUAUUGAUAGUGCUACAGCAUCUAAUGCCACAACACCUGCUUCCCUAAUUCUGAGAUUUAAAGAGGUAGUAGAAUUUGACGGCAACGGUAGGCUAAUUAUUGCCUGUGAUGGUGGUAAUGGGUAAGUAAACCUUAUGUUUUUUCAUAAUUUUUAAAAUUUUUGAAAGAUGAGAUAAUUUAAUAUAAUUUUAUUGCAGGUUCAUUUUCGCGUGUAGUGGCAGACAUAUGAUUAUAGAAGAAAUUAAACCAUUUUACACGAAACCGUGGGGUAGUUGGAACAAGAUUAAACUCGACGUCAGAGUUCUUAUGUGGAACCAGUUUAUAGUAUAAUCCAAAUCAAAGAAUUUAACAUUUCAUUAUGAUAUCAAUGAUGAAUUUACAUUUGUAUCCAUCACCUUAUUUCAUGACUUUAUAUUAAACUAUUUUGCAAACAAAGUGUGCAUGGAAUUCUUGUCAUGAAAAUAAAAUACAACGUAUUUUCAAGUUCAAAGUAGCUCUACAGAUCAAAGAACACUUAUAUGAGGCCCGAAAGCACUUGAAAAAAUCUAGUUCGAUGAAUGGUGCUGUGUGGGACCAGUUCUUGGAAAAAUGAGAUGCUCCUAAAUUUAAGGCGAGGAGGGAAUGGGCAAAGGCAAAUAGAGCGUCUGAAAUGGGUGGCUCAUUGCACACAGGAGGUUUGAUGAGUUUCACUACCCACGGACGAAGACUGGUAAUAUUAUCUUAAAUCUCUGAUUUGUUUGAUUUAUUUCAAUGUUCUAAACCAUGACAUAGUGAAGCCGUGUGGGGCUCUUUCGAUUCACUAUUGUUGUUAUCUUCUUCUUGUUGUUCAUCUUGAAGUUUAGUGAAGCCGUGUGUGGCCUAUUUCGAUUCACUAGCAUUGUUGUUGACAUCUCGUUACUCUUGUUGUUGCUUGUUUCAUUUGUUGUAAACUUGAUCUUGUAUCACACUGCCUAAUGGUUUUACACAGUAAGAAGAAGCGAAUUAGUGUAUGUGUAUGUGAAUGCCUUCGUUAAGACACAAUUUAUGAGUUGACAGUAUUUAACUAUCAAGAAUUUUUUGCAUUUACUGAUUCACUUCAUUUUUUAAAAGAUAUUUCACUAUCACUUAAAGCUAUGAAUAAAGCACUCCUAUCUACUAGCAAGAACGCGCUCCGGCCUACUAAGCUUGAGCUCUUAAGCUUAUCUCGGCCUUUAUCUUAUCUGGAUCACCAUUGCCUUAACUGCAGCUACUGCUGUUGCUGCAGUAAAUGAUCCAGGGAUAUGCUAACCUUCAAAAGUAGAAAUAGUUCAAGUGUCUAAAAUUAAGUAAUAAGUUUGGGUAAAGGGAUAUUAAGCUGAGACCAGGAUAAGACUAGCUGUUGGAUGAAGAGUUAAUAGCCCAUAGUCCAUUUAGGUGAAAGAUGCUCAAACUUAUUAGCCCAAACGAAGUCUGCUUUGCAUUUACUGAUGAAUGACGAUAAAGGCAUACAUAUAGUCACUUUAAUUGUUUUGUUUAUGCAAUCAGAAUCUUAAACGUUUAAAAUAAUUCCACGAAUCUACCAUGAUGGGGCUUAAUAUAUUCAUUAGCUAGUUCUGCACAGCUCCUAUAAUUUAACAUGAUUAAAUAAAACAUGAUUAGAUAACAGAAUUGAAAAAGGAAGUGUUUUCAGGGAUCUCCAACUUCCCAGCUAAUCGGACAGUGUUGAUCACCUUAGGAAAAACCUGCAUUUGCAUAUCCUCUAAUAAGACAACAACAAGUCUUGGUUGUAGAAUAAAAAUGUUACUACAUCAUGUUGCUACAAGCCGGGAUAUUAUGUCUCUUGAUGUUUAUCGAAGAAACAAUAUCUAUUGCUGCUCAUUUGUUUUAUAGAUUUAUAUUCUUAGUAAUGUUGAAAAUAAGCUCAUGGAACAAGUUAAAUGUGUCUCGUACCUAAUCUCUAAUGACAUUUUUAUCUAAACAACUAAUUUAUUCUACAUUAUGAUUUUUUGUAAUACUCCACUUGUAGUAACAAAUUAAUUAAUGAAAUUUAUUAAAAAUUAAAAAAUUAUAGGACUUGAAUCAAUAAUAUGAUGAGAUUGGAUUUUUCUUCUAUUAUAUUUAAUCUGGCAGGCUGACGUUGAAUAUCAUUUUUUUAAAAGUGUAGUAUAAAACUUUUGUAGAUUUUAAAAUGAAACGGUGAGACAAUGAAGUGGUUCUGAUUCUUGGUUUGAUUUGAGCCUUGAGGCAAGAGGAUGUGAACCUACUAUGACAUGGAGACAUUCUGGAUUAUUCAGAAAUACUAUAUAAGAAAAAAGGGUUCAACAAUCAUAUAUACAAAGACGAAAAAUAUUAUUCGUUCAUGUACAUUCACCAACUUCCACCAUAUAUAAAUACUAGUUGUAUGUAUGCACACACUAAAAUCAACAUAAAAGUAUUUUGUUAGAAAGAGUAUCACAAUAACAUUAUGUAUCGAAGAAGCAAUAUCUUGGUUAAUCUUCGAACUAACCGUAGGUUUUAUGUUAGUAGUAUAUGUUUUAAGAAUGUUGUAAUUUAAUACUUACCUUACCAUACCAAACUUUUUCAAUUAAAUCAAUACCCUCAACCUGUUAGUAGCCUUUGGAAAUUAAUCUUGUUUUAUGACUCAACACCACUGGUAGGAUCAUCUAGACUUAGUUCAGCACCAUCAACACAAUUGUUAUAAUCAUGAUUAGCACCAUUGUCAUAUUCAUCUAAUUUUGAAGGAAUAUAAAAAUGGGGGAAAAGAGCGCCCUUAUCUUGAGGUCUACGAAGAAAUGCAUAGGAAGAAAAAUAAGGACGGUACAAAAGUAGAUUGGGUCGAACUGCGUGCUAGGAUUGCAUAUGUAAGAUAAUAACUUUUACAUACAUUGUUUUAUUAUUACUCAACUUUGAUUGUUUACGUACUAACAAUUAAUUUUUCUUCCAGGAAGAAUUUCAAAAAAGCAUAGAAGAGUAGCGUCAAACCCAACCUACUUCAGAGGAUGGUACCAUGGUCCAACCAUCUCCUGCAGAGAUGAAUAAUAUAUGGACAGCUGUAUUAGGUGGUCCAACGAAAGAUAGAACCUACGGGACAAGAGUUCUCCAAUCCUCAAGUACUUCUUCGUUGUUUCACAAUUCCUCUUCUACUUUGCAAACUAUUGAAGAAAUGGAAGCGAUGAAAAAGCAAAUUGUGGAAUUUAUGCAGAAAUAUGCAGCUAACGAUGCUAGGUUUGCUAAAUUUGAUAAAUUGGAGGAGUGGGUUAAGAAGCACAUGCUGCAACUAUUUCAUGACAAGGAAGAUAAUGAAUCUGAUGAUAAUUAGAUUGUAGUUAUUGUUCUUGUUUUUGGUUGUGACAUUUAGAUGUUUAAACUAUUUGAUUUGAUGUUUGUUUUGAAUGGUUUAAAGUGGUUGUAUUUAUAAUUUUUUGUUGUGUUUGAUCCUAUUGUGAAAAAUACAUUAGUUACUGUUUAUAAUCUGAAAACAGUGUAAGCUAAUGCAAUAUAAUAAUUAUUAAAUAAAUAUUUAUCAAAUAAUAAUUAUUUAUUAAAUUUCUGACUACAGUAGUCGAAAUAAUUAAAAUUAUUAAAUAAUUAUUUAUAAAAUUUUGACUACCCUAGUCGGAAUAAUUAAAAUAAUUAAAUAAUUAUUUAUUAAAUUUUUGACUACGGUAGUCAGAAUAAUUAAAAUAAUUAAAUAAUUAUUUAUUAAAUUUUGACUACAGUAGUUGGAAUAAUUAAAAUAAUUAAAUAAUUAUUUAUUAAAUUUUCGACUACAGUAGUCGGAAUAAUUAAAAUUAUUAAAUAAUUAUUUAUUAAAUUUUCGACUACAGUAGUCGGAAUAAUUUCAACAUCCAAACACGUUCUGUCCCUUGUCCAAAAAAUCCAAAACUUCUCCUAGAUAUCCCCUUCACUCCCCCGAACAUGAAUCAACUCUAAAAUUUAUAUCUCAAGGUUGAAAAAAAAAAUUAGAGGUCACACAAGUUUAGGAGCUUAAAGAUGUGACUAAGUCCUUUUGACACUUUAGAAAAUUUUUCAGAUGAUUAGCCCCUUAUACAUGCUAUGGAGUGAGGUAUUAGAUUGAGGAUAUCACGGGGUGGUACAUUAUCCCUCCCUUGGGAUCAUCCGUCCCCAAAUGGUGGUUCGGAACACAAACAAGCACGAUUUCAAGCAUACAAGGGAUAAGAUAAAGAGAGUAGGAUAUAACUCAUACCAUUAAGGUCGUCAUCUAUAGUCUCAAAGAGGGUUGGGUAUCUGAUCCACAUAUCACCUUCUGAUUCCCAAGUAGCUUCCUCAGCUUUUUGAUUCCUCCAAAGCACCUUAACCAAAGCUAGUUCCCUAUUCCUUAGCUUUCGAACUUGGCGGGCCAAGAUAGCAAUAUGUUCUUCUUCAUAUGAUAAGAAGUCUUUCACCUUAAUAUCCUUUACAUGCAACACUAGGGAAUGAUCUCCAAUACACUUUUUAAACAUGGACACAUAGAAAAUUGGAUGAAUGGAAGCUAGACUUGCAGGCAAUUCUAACUCAUAAGCAACCCCACCUAUCCUUCUCACAAUCCGAUAUGGUCCUAUAUAUUGAGGAAUCAUCUUUUAUUUCUUCCCGAAUCACAUGACUCCCUUCAUAGGGGAGACUUAAAAAAACCCAAUCACAACCUCAAAUUCCAACUCCCUUCACCUAACAUUGGCAUAGGAUUUCUGGAGACUCUGAGUUGUCUUAAGUCAUUCUCUAAUGAUUUUCACCUUUUCCAUUGCCUGAUGAACAAGAUCAUUCCCAAAUAACCGCAUCUCACCGAUCUCAUACCACCCAAUCGGUGAUCUACAUCUUCUCUAAUAAAGCUCUUCAAAAGGAGCCAUCAUAAUGCUGGCAUGGUAACUAUUAUUGUAGGCAAACUCUAUCAACGGCAGAUGAUCUACCCAACUACCCCUGAAGUCAAUUACACAGGCCCUCAACAUAUCUUCUAGGGUCUGAAUGGUACGCUCAGCUUUCCCAUCAGUCUGAGGGUGGAAAGCACUACUCAGGUUCAGUUGGGUACCUAAACCCCUCUGAAGAGAUUGUCAAAACUGCAAAGAUAAUUGCAUACCUCGAUCGGAUAUAAUGGAUACAAGUUCCCCAUGCAAGCAAACUAUUUCCUCAAUGUAUAGCUUGGUAUAAUCAUCUCCCAAAUAGUUGGUCCUCACAAGCAAAAAGUGAGCUGACUUGGUCAUCCGAUCCAUAAUUACCCAAAUGGAAUCAUAUUGGUUUUGGGACCUCGGAAGUCCUGUGAUGAAAUCCAUAUUAAUCAUCUCCCACUUCCACAUAGGCAAAACUAUAUCUUGGGAAGAACCACCUGGUCUCAAAUGUUCCACUUUAACUUAUUGGAAAUUCAAACACUUGGAAACAAAAUCAGCAACAUCAUGUUUCAUAUUAUUCCACCAAUAUAUUACCUUAAGAUCGUGGUAUAUUUUAGUAGUGCCUAGGUGAACAACAUACCUCAAAGUGUGAGCCUUAUUAAGGAUCUUCUCUCGCUAACCAUACGCAUUCGGUACACACAGCCUGCCCUAGUACCUUAGAAUACCAUCACUACCAAUUUCGAAGGCCAUCACCUUCUGUUGACCCACAUCUUUCUUAAUCUGCAUCAAGUUGGGAUCCUCGGCUUGUUUAUCCUUAACUUCCGCACAUAAGGAAGAUUUAGCUAUUUCAUGCACAACUACUCCUCCAUCUCCAGAAUCUAAAAGUUGUACCCCUAGAUUUGUAAGUCAGUAAAUAUGUUUCACCAUCUCCCUCUUUCCUUCCUUAAUAUCCAAAAGACUGCCCAUAGAUAAUCUGCUUAGGGCACCGGCCACCACAUUCACGUUGCCCGGAUGAUAGUGCAAACUCAUGUCAUAGUCCUUCAACAGUUCCAACCACUGCCUUUGCCUAAGAUUCAGUUCUUUCCGUGAAAAGUCAUACUGCAAACUUUUAUAGUCAGUGAAAAUAUCAACAAGUACCCCAUACAGAUAAUGCCGCCAGAUUUUAAGUGCAAACACCACAACCGCUAAUUCUAAGUCAUGGAUGGGGUAAUUUCACUCAUGCACCUUCAACUGCCUAGAUGCAUAAGCUACCACUUUGCCAUGCUGCAUAAGUACACACCCAAGUCCCACCUGGGAUGCAUCACAGUAUACCACAAAACCCUCUGAACCUUCCAGAAAAGUCAAAACAGGUGCAGUAGUAAGCUUUUCUUUUAACUUCUUGAAACUAUUCUCACAAAGGUCAGACCAUACAAACUUCACCUUUUUCUGUGUCAACCUAGUAAGUGGAGCAGAUGUGGAAGAAAAACUCUCUACAAAUCUUCUAUAAUACCCGGCCAAACCCAAAAAGCUCUAAAUAUCGGUUUGAGUUGUGGGCCUGGACUAUUUUCUCACUGCCUCAAUCUUUUGGGGAUCAACUUUAAUUCUCUCACUAGACACAAUAUGCCCCAAGAAAGCAAUAACAUUAAGCCAGAAUUCACACUUGAAAUUUGUUGCAUACAAUCUAUGAUCUUUAAGGGUCUGAAGAAUGAUUCAGAGGUAACUGGCAUGAUCCUCUUCACUCUUAAAGUAAAUCAAAAUGUCAUCAAUGAAGACUGACAAAUAGAUCUAGAAACUGGCAGAACACCUUAUUCAUUAGGUCCAUGAAGGUUGCAGGGAUGUUAGUUAAUCCAAAGGACAUGACAAAGAAUUGAUAAUGGUCAUAUCAGGUUCGAAAAGAUGUUUUAGGAAUAUCAGCCUCCCUAACCUUCAACUGAUGAUACCCCGAACGAAGGUAUAUCUUUGAAAAAUACCUAGCACCCUGAAGUUGGUCAAAGAGAUCAUCAAUUCUUGGAAGGGGAUAUUUGUUUUUGACCGUGACCUUAUUUAACUGAUUAUAGUCUAUACACAUAUGGAGGGAACCAUCUUUCUUACGUACAAAGAGUACGGGUGCUCCCCAGGGAGAAACACUAGGAUGGAUAAAGCCUUUGUCAAGAACGUCUAUUAGCUGUUCUUUAAACUCCUUUAAUUCUAUAAGAGCCAUUCUAUAGGGCAGAAUAGAAAUGGGAUGAGUGUCUGGCAAUAAAUCAAUACCAAAAUCUAUCUCCUUAUUAGGUGGUAUUCCUGGGAGAUCAUUGGGAAAAACUUCUAGAAAUUCAUUAACCACAGUGCCAGACUGAAAAGAAGGACUUUCGAUAUCUAAAUUUUAACCCGAAUAAGAUAAUACAAACAACCUUUGGAAAUAAGCUUACGGGCUCUGAGGUAAGAUAUGAAUUUCCCUCUAGCUGCUAAAGAAUGCCCCUCCCAUUAGAUCACCUAUUUAUUUGAAAAAGAGAAGGUAACCUUUCGGGUUCUACAGUCUAGCAUGGCAUAACACGUAUAAAGCUAGUCCAUUCCUAAAAUGGCAUCAAAGUCCACAAUAUCAAGCUCUAUGAGAUCUGUCACUAUAUCACGCUACAAAUAGACACAACAUAAUUUUUAUAUAUUCCCCUCGCCAUAACACAAUCACCUACAGGAGUGGAAAUAGAGGAAGGUUCAACAAUAACUUUGGGCUCAAAUCAAAAAUCGACUGCCACAUAUGGGGUCACAUAAGAUAAAGUAGACCCGAGAUCAAUUAAUACACACACAUCACGGGAGAAGAUUUGUAACGUACCCAUAACGACUCGAACUGAGUCGGGACCCUGGCCGCGACGAGCAUCCCGAACCAUGGAGGCUCGGGUGCCAUUCUACAUCUGGUAAUCAUACAUAUUACUCAUAACAUAAUUAUAAGAUAUGGAAUUAUAAAUCAUUACAAAACCAUGGUCAUAAUCUGAGUUUAGUUUAAAAGGAUGGAAAUAAGCAAAAUAACAUCUAGACAACAUCUGAUUCAGUCUGGGAAAUCUCUACUACAUAUGAAACUAAUAAACUGUUUGUAAUUGGGACGAGGUAUAUAACCAAUUGAGACCGCUCCUAGUAGCUGAAGUAGCACCUUUUGGAGGUGGUGGUGGCGCGGAGGAGUUUGCUCGGGACUUAGAACCACUGAAGUUCCUUCUAGCAAAAGGACAAUCUCUCUGUAAAUGGCCCGACUAACCACAUGUAUAGCAUACCAACCUGCCCAGCUAGAACCUCCCUGGGUGAUGCUUACCGCAGGUCUCACAUUUCAAAAAAGUCCGAUCCACACUGCCCUGGUACUGGGUACUCUGUGCUCCCGAUCCAUGGCUAGGCUAAAAAUUUUGAGGUUGUCGAUCAACUGGAGGUCUGGGAGCUGGAGCGCUGGCUGCAGGUUGUGCUUUUCCCCAAAACUUCUUCUUCUGCCACCUAUUACACCAAUUACCACCCUGCAACUGACUAUUGUUCUGGUCUAUUAUUCAGGCCCUCUUAGCCUGUUUGUCCUUCUCCUUUGCUUCAGCAACCUUCUUUUUCUACUCCUCAACCUGUUAUUUAUGAAUGGACAAUCUAGAGAAAUCCAUAUCUCUGUUAAUCAUUGCCCCAUUGUACUCUAACACCAAGUUAUCUGAGAGACAGAUUGCAAACUUCCGCAUACGAUCCCUCAUGUUGCCUACCAUUUUGGGGGCAUAAUAGGAUAACUGAUUAAAUUUCAAGGUGUACUCUUUGACGCUCAUCUUCCCCUGAUUCAAAUUCACAAACUCUUCAUCCUUGGACAGGUUUGUUCCCGUGAACUUAGGCAGGUUUGGUCUCAUAAACUAACCUACCCAUGUAGUCUCAGAUGCACUAAAUUCAAACCUAACAUCCUCCGACCGUUGGGUCUAUGAAGCCACCAACUAUGCAAUCAUAUGCAUCAAUUGUCUGAACUCAGCAUUUGAUAUUUCUCUCUGGGGAGGUUAGGUGUGAUUAGUCCCAUGGCGGGGAUCCCUAGGUGUCCUAGUUGGGCUGGUCUAAAUAGGAGGGACUCCUGGAGUAACAAAAAAUUCAGGAGCGUGAGCCCUAUUAUGUGUCCUCAUCCCAUGGGUAGGAUGGAUACCUUCAGUUCAGGCAUUCUUUUCAUUGGUGCGACAUGGAGGCAUGAUAGCUUUUCUAAAAUACUAGAGACCAUUGAUUAAGGGAUAUUUUAGACUCUACAGCACAGACUAUAUCCCAAAAAGGGAGACAUUCCUAAACUCCUAGUAGCCUCCUACUUAUAAGUGUGGCAUGCUACACACGCAUAAAUAAGACUCUACCCGAUGCGAUUUUGCAGAGACCCUGUGUCCACGAACCGUGCUCUGAUACCAACUUUGUCACGACCCGAGUUGGGACCUUGGCCGUGACGAGCAUCCUGAACCAUAGAGGCCCGGGUGCCCUUCUACAUAUGGUAAUCAUGCACAUUACUCAUAACAUAAUUAUAAGAUGCAAAAUUAUAAAUUGUUACAAAAUCAUGGUCAUAAUCUGAGUUUUGUUUAACAGUAUGGAAAUAAGUAAAACAACAUCUAAUUCAGCCUGCGAAAUCUCUACAACAUAUGAAACUAUUAAACUGUCUGAAAUUAGACAAGGCCCCCAAUGGACCUAAACCAUAGUAAAUAACAAAUGGCUAAAAAGGAUUACGCCUCUUGAAAUAAAGAAGGCUCACCAACUACACACUUUACUUCUGUCUGAAUAAAUCUAUGGCUUAGAAGGACCUCUAGACUGAGCCUUAUACCCUGAAAUAUAGGGGGUCAAUACAAUUGUAUUGGUAUGCAAAAUAAUACAAAAUAAUGCAUAUAUAUAUAUAUAUAAUAGGUGAGAGCAGGUCAUGAAACAUCAUGCAUGAUCUAAUUUAAAAUGCAUGGGAAAAUCUUUGAUUAUCAUAAAACAAUCAUGUAAAUGCAGUUCUACUUUUCGUAUUACUUUUGAGUUAGGUGGUGCACCCUAUAAUUCAACGACCCCACAGGCUAUAUAGAGUUCAUCCUUGACUCAGCGGCCAAACCCCCAACCCAAGUUUGUUGUAAGGGUGAGUUUUUGAUUCUGAUAUGCCAUAGGGCACUAGGCCAGCAUAUAAUUCCUCUUGGGGACAUAAUAACCCGUAUCGGGAAAAUACGGUUUUGGGCAAUGAGUUGUCUAAACUUGUGCUUUCUUCGGGUAACCACCUAACAUCUCUUUAUGACUAUUUUUAACCUUUUCUGAACAUGCUUAGUUCUAAGUUCAAAAUCUGAAAAUCUGAAUGAACAUCUGGAUUCUGUUCUGUUCUGAAUUACCAUGGCAUUAUCUGUAUUGUUGUGGUCACACCAAGACUGCAAGUCGUAUAUCUAUGUCAUAAAGUGUCAGGUAUGAUUAUUUCAAUCUAAACAAUGUUCAGGCCACUUGAACAUGCAUAUAGUAUAAGAAAAAUUCUUAUUUCAAAUCAUAAGUCAAAAUCAUGCAAAGACUUUCCAUUCAUUCAACAAUUUCAACAAGUGGUGGCCAAUUUCUCAAAACAUUCCUGAAGUCCCUUCAUUUAUCAUUUUCAGCAUGUAAAUCAUAAUAAUAUUCCUCUCUCCAAUUCUUAAUCAUCAUAAAAUUCAUGUAAGAUAAUGAGGCUCUUGACCCAUUCUUUAAAUCAUGAAAUUUAGGAUUUCACGACUUGUAAAUCAAGUAGUAACGCAGUGGGAGAGGGAAAAGAUUUGAUAAUUCAUGUUCUCAAUUCAUAUUUCAAGGCUUCAACACAAUCAUACAUAUAUACUAGUCAAAUCACUUUCAAGAGAAGGCCUGAAGACCAAAACAAUAUUAUCAACGGCUUCAAAAGCAUGAUUAUAAAUUGUAUAUCCAAAACCCUUUUUGUAAUUUCAUGAUUUCUAAACCUUUAUUCAUCAUUAGAACAAUUUCAUCAUACCCAUGUAAUUUUAGGAAAAUCCCACAUAACUUAGAUCACUUAGGAGGAAGAGUAAAAACCAAAUCUUGUGUCAUGACCCGAACCAGGGCCCUGGCCGUGACGAGCAUUUCGAACCAUGAAGGCCCGAAACACCCCUAUUUGUCGGAUAAUCAUGCACAUAACUCAUAUGAUAAAGGAAAUGCGGAAGAUAAAUAAUAUUACGAAAACAUGGUCAAGAAUCAUAUGAAAUCAAUAACGGGGAAUAAUGUCCCACAAUCUCAACACAACAUCUCUAUAACGUCUGCGAAAUCUCUACUACAUAACUGAAAUAAAUAUCUAUCUGAAAAUAGGGACAAGGCUCCCAGUAGAUCCAAAACUAAUAAAUGAUAAAUAAAAUUGCCAGAUAUCAGGCCUUCCAAAAUAUAGAAGUCUCACCAAGUGACUCUGCAAAUCUAUCUGACGAAUCUACUAAUUUUCUGGACCCCUAGACUGUGCCUCCGAACCUGGGAGGAAAGGGGGUCAAUACAAAAGUAUUGGUACGCAAAGAUACCAAAACAAAAUAUAAUAUUUUUACAAAAUAUAGUUGAGAGCCAUUAUAAAGCAGUUUCAUAUCAAAUCAUUUGAAAACACAUGGGCGUAAAGUAAUUGUUUUCAACAACAAUGUAAUGUAGCUGAGCUAGGUGGAAUACCCUACAUAUCACAUUUACACCAGAAGACACACAAGAUCACACAGCAGGGUGUCUCGACCCAAUGGUAGUGCACAAAAUCACAAAGCAGGGCUCCUAACCAUAGUCCCAACUUGGGAAUGUAAUAAAGUCAGGUAUGCAAGAUCACAAAGCAGGGUACUAAAUUCCCAUGUCGGUAAACACGGUUUCUAGAGAUUAGCCCUUACACUCAAACGCCUUCUUCUGGGAUCCACCUAUCUCAUGUAAAAUAAAUGCAUUCAAAUUUUAUCUGAUUCAAUCACAUAUCAUAUUCUGUAGGGUAUCGUCAUACCCGACAUGCAAGCCAUCAAAAUCACAUCAUUCUUCUCAUUCAACCAUUGUAUUCAACAUGUUUCAACACAAAUAUCCCUCUCGUUUACAAGUCAAAAUCAUAUCAAUUCUCAAAACAUUUCAUGUCAUGCUUUUCAAGAUGUUUUCAAUCAAUUUACAUCAUAUGAAUAUUUAAAAUAAAUACACAUCAAGAGAGGGAUUCCAUAUAAUUCAUGCUCUUAAAUUAACAUCUUUUCAAAACACAUGCAUAUACAUAUAUAAUAUGUCAAAUCACUUCAGAAAUAGGCCUAAAGACCAAAUCAAUGUUAUAGAAACGUUCAAAACAUGAUUAUAUUCAUAGUUUCAAAACCCAUUGUAAAACAUGAAUUUAAAGGCCCAUGAGAUUUUAGGAUAACCCCACGUACCUCUAUAUGCGAAGAUGAUAGGUGUUUCUUGAAGCCUACCUUCUGGGGAGUUCAAAUAUACAAUUAGUUUCAAAAACCCACAGUUGAAUCUUGAGUUUCUUGGGUUUUUAUUUUAAAACCCCAAGGAGACUUCUUGAGCAAUUUUGAUGAAUAAAGGUGUAUUUUAGGGUAUUUGGAGACUGAAUUUCGUGUUUAUGGCUAAAUAAGGGUGAGAAAAGGACAAUUUUGCCCAAAAAAUGGAGUGUUUAAGUCACUUGAGUAGCAAUGUAUGCGGUGCACACCUUGUCGCAUAAUAUAGGUUGUGCGGCGCACUCUUUAUUGCACACAUUAGGUUGUGCGUUACACACCUUAUGCUGUACGACACACUCCACUUUGCAAAAUCAUAACUUCUUUCUCGGGUGUCGAAUUCUUGCAAAAUUGGUAUCGUUGGAAAUAUAAUUCGAAGGCCUUUAAUUUAAUAUAUAGUAGGCACUAUAAUUCAAUAUAUACAAAGAGUAAUGACCGAUUGAAGUUGACCCAAGUUUUGUCACUUACUAGAACUCAAUCGAUGGAAAAGCUUUCAACUCAUCCUUGAGUUAGGAGACCUCUAUGAUCUCAAUUCAUGCUCAACUAGAUUUAUACACCACAUAGUUGAUUAAAACACUAUAUUCACAAUAGAUAUAUGGUUUUUGAAGUGUGUAGAAGUAGAAAUAACAAUUUAUGUUCAAGUCUGAAAGUAUGGGGUGUUACAUCUUGCUUAAGUUUCUUGAACUUCUUGACUUCAAAGAUGAGCUCUUGAUCUAUAAGGGAGGGACUAGGGUUUUUAUUUGAGAGAGAUAAGUAGUUUUCUCAUAUAUUUUUCCCUAAUAACACUUUAAUUUUGUGUUAUGGCAUAGAUAGGGGGAGGAAAAGACUAUAAUAUGCUCCCCAAGGCUGGUUAUUAAUUUAAAACAUGCGAACUGGGCAUCAAUGCAUUACCCAACGUGAUGCGUCAACAUUGCAUCGGGCCACUAUUUCAUUGAUGUGAUUAUCAGUGUGACGCACUGACUUUGCGUUGGCUCACUAUUUCACCAAUGCGAUCAUCGAUGCGGCGUGCCGACUUUGCGUUGUUCCACUAUUUCCAACAUCCAAACACGUCCCGUCCCAUGUCUGAAAAAUCCAAAACUUCUUUGAGACAUCUCCUUCACUCCCCCAAACAUGAAUCAACUCUAAAAUUCAUAUCUCAAGGUUGAAAAAAAGAUUUAGAGAUCACACAAGUUUAGGAGCUUAAAAAUGUGACUAAGCCCUUUUGACACUUAGGAAAUUUUUCAGAUAAUUAACCCUUUAUUUAUGCUACGGAGUAAGGUAUUAAAUUGAGGAUAUCAUGGGGUGUUACAUUAUCCAUAUCAAGGUCAACAAUACAUAUGCAGAAGUUAAGAGCAGACACCAGCAAUACAAAUUAGUAGCUAUCAAGUCAUGCCUAAAAGUGAAACAGCAUUGUUACAAGCCGUAACCAAACAACCCGUCUCCAUUGGAAUUUCUACUAGCCAAGAGUUUCAAGUUUACAGAGGAUGAAAUUAUCAUGGUAGUUAUGCUGAUCGUAUUAACUGUUAGAGUACGUCCCCUAUUGAUUGGUGACUUUAAUGUUAGAGUUUCCUAUCAAUGAAAUGGGUUGUCUGACGUGUUCAAAGGAAGAAGUACAACAGAAAGUAAAGAACACAGUGAUUUUUACGUGGAAAACACCCGUCUUAAAAAGGUGUACAAAAACCACGACCUGCACCUCUACAGGAUUUAACCCCAACUUAACUAAAUAACUCUAAGCCUCAACAACGACUGAUUACAAAACUUUUGUAACCAACAAAUAGGAAUUAUAAACUCUAAUUUCUUUAACUACGACUAGGAAUUAUAAACUCUGAUUCCUAACUAUACACACCUCCCAAGGUAUGCGUUCCCAAAAUCUCUGAGUUUUUUUCAACUCGAAGACUAGCUCCUAGUUUAGUUUAUAACACACUGAAACUAAUAUUACAUCAAUAUUUCAAACACAAAGAACAACUCUAAAAAUCAAUGCUAAGACUCUUAGAUAGAUUCUAUACUUAGGACCAGGUUCUUCAAUGUGUUUCUUCAGUGAUUGAGUGGCACUUCGAUUGUUCUUUUCUGCUUUUUUAAGUGCAUAGUUUAUUGUGUCUGAUGCAUCUUCUAUUUAAGCACAACUCUUCAAAGAGUUAUUCUUAAUUUAAAACUUUCACUUCAAUCAGAACUCUCAUUGCAUAGAGUUCUACUUCAAGUGAGACUCCUUCUUCAAUUCCAACUCUUGUCUUCUUAGUGUUGUAGUCAAACUCCAAUUCUCCAAAGAGUCCUUCAAAUUAUAUGUUUUGUAUAGACUUCUAUAAUUUUUACAAUCUUUCUCCUUCUACACAUAGGACUCUUAAGGAUAUGAUCAGAAGUGAAACUCCUUCUUCACAUAGGACUCUUUUUUCAACUCGACUUAUUUUCCCUUAUCAUCGGGUGUUUGAAUCAAAUUUAAGUUUUUCUAUUCCCCACAUGAUCAGUAAGUUGAAGUUUCCAGCUGCACUGAUUUAAAUCAUUUUGAUUUUUAAUUAUUUAUACUGCAGACUGCACUCUUAAACUUAUCGGAUCAGUAGAACACAUAUAUCAACUUCUUUCAUUCAUAUUGUCAUUCAUCAAAACUUCAAGAUUCCGACAAAUUCUCCCUUUUUUAUGAUGACAAACCUCUUGUCUUUGUACAUUCAAACAUCUUCACCUGUAGGCACUAAUUAAAGUAUAAAAUAUUAGAAUGAAAUAAGUUAGUCUAUGGGUUAUAAACAUUAAACAACCCUCUUAUCUUCCCCCUUUUGGCAUCAUCAAAAAUCAUUUCAAUGCAAUAAUAUACUAGACAAAGUGAUUUUUUAUGAUAUACAUGGCCACUAGAGCUAUCACCAAAACAAUCAGACAAAGACUUUAGCCAACAUAGUAAUGUAUUAAAGAGACCAAAAGAAUUAGUCAAUUUAGCAAAGAUAACCAUUCCAUUUAACUGCCAGAGCAUGUUUCACACUAAACCUAAGCUAGUACUAAACAAAGCAAAACAACUGAGCAUUAAAAAAAAUAUGGUAUAAAAGUUGAACAUGGCUAAGGAUACGAAUAGUGAGGAGCUGAUGAGGAAGGUGGAACAGAUAUUAUCAACUGUGUUAAUUGAUGAAUGAAUUCAAUAUUUUCAUCCCUUUCUCAAUCAAGGUCAAGCUUCAAAGUCAUGAUCCUAGCCUGAAGGACCACUUAUUCCGCUUCAUGACUGUCAGAUGCAGCCUUCUAAUUCAGAAUUUAUCUCAUCUAAAUCAUUUUUCUUAUCUUUUAUUUUUGCAAUGAGUUUUAGCCCUCCUUAUUGAACCAGAUAGAGCAGCAUGAUUCAUCUAUUCAAAAAUAUCCAUUAUUGUUUGAAAUGUCAAACCUAAACUAAGACUGAGAAAUUCUAAAAGAUCUGAGGCAAUUAGGAACUAAAAGGGAUAGCAUGUCCCUUUUUAUUCUGUAGAAACAUAUCCUGCAUGUGAUGAUGAUCAAGUUUGGAAAAUCCAUGGUACAAAAUUGAUAUUUUGGUUGAGAGAGAAAAAGGAAUUUCUGAUGUAGGAUUAACUCAUUUGUACACAACUAUUUGGAGAGAAUCAAAGAAAGUUUGGUCAAUCAAUUCGUCAGCUUUAUAAGACAAGGGAAUGAUGAAAUGUGAGGAAUUGAACAGGUGUGCUCAACUAUUUCAACUUAGACAGCCUAUGCUUAUGUCAGUAUAGAACAUACCUGAUAAAAAGAACUUUUUGAUCACAAUUGUUUGCUUGUACCUAUUUUUUUGUACAGUCUAAUACAAAAUUAGGUUAGAAGAGUAAAAAAUCUGGAAUUGGGACACACAACUAAAUGUGCAAGACUGAAUCGAAUAAUAUUUUAGCUAAUAAGAUUAAAAAAGCAGUUAUUCUAGCCAAUCAUCGAGGGGAGUUCAUGCAAUUUUAAUCAUCCCCAAGUCUAACCUAUUUUUUUAAAAUGCUAUCUACUUAGUGUCAGUGGUGUAUUUUCAGUCAAUUAAGUAAUCCACAUAAUCAAAAACUUUAUAGGCCACAAGAGUGAAUUGAUUUCCUUUGGAUACCAUAGUCCUAAAUUAUUGAUUUGUUAUUCCCCCUGUCGAUAUGCCCUCAGUCAUGGAACAGGUGGCAAAACAUGUUUUUGUCCAUGCUCAUCAGUUUCACUGUCAUCUUCUUAACUUCUCUACUUCUUACAUUAGUCUACAAAGAUUCAUACGAACCAGGACAAACACUUGGUCGUACUUAUAUGAUUCUUUGUUUUGAAAGAGGAUUUCCCUUGCUUCCCCCUACACAGCACUACAAAUUCGGUCAUCUUUCAAAGGCUUUUGGUUUAUUUUUCCCUAUCUUUCCAACUUCAGCAAUGGUGCUCUUUUUGCCAUCUUCAAAAGAUCCAUUCCCCCUUUAAUGUGGUGAGUGAAAGAAACUUAUUUGCUUUCUGUCUUAUGCCUUGAGCAAGCUUUAUUCAUGUACACAUUUUGUUUGCUUCCUUUCACUCGCACCUACAAAAAAAAUUAGGGGUUAAAUUUAGGCACCCAGACAAGCUUGGUUCCUUUCUUAUGAGUAAAUGGAUAAAUCAGAUUUCUUUUAGCCCAUGCAGGCAACAGGUUAUGUGACCUGUUUCUCUAACCAGGUUUACUUAUCCUUUCCUUGGUCUGAGAUAGUUUAUUUGCUAGAUUUAGACUACUAGAUCUGUUUUUGGAAACAACUGGACAUUCAGUGGUUGAAUGUCCAAGGUUUCCACAGAUAUAGCACAAGUCUUGAGAAGUAUCAAGACUUUUGUUAAAACCCAAACCAGCUUUUUCACUAUGAUUUCUUUCACUCAGCUUAUGAAAAAUUCUUGAGGAAUUUGUCCACCUAUUUGCUCUUUCAAGGUCAAGUUUUAGUUUAGAGAAUUCUUGACUCAGUUUAUUCACCAUGUCUAUUGCAUUAUUGCACUCUUCUUUGUACUUGAUCAAUUCAAGUUCAACUUUUUCUUUUUCUUUAAUCUUGAUGUUUUUUCCCUUUUCAAAGUAUCAAUUUUAGAACUUCAAACUUAAGAUCAUUGUUUGAAGAAUCAAGUUGCUCAACCUAUUUCUUGAGAGAGUAGUUUUCCUAUUCAACAGUGUUCUUGCAUGUUUCUAAAUCAAUAAAAUCAAAUUUGAUGCUUGAAACACUGUUGAACAGCUUAUCCCUAUCAUAAAUUAAUUCUUCGAAGUCAUCAAUUAAUGCACUCAUCAAGGAAAUAAGUUUUUUUUUAGAAAAAAAAAUGCAACUUUUCUUUAAGUUCAAGUAUACUUACCUCAGAAGCAUCAUCUUCUUCUUCCAAGUCUGAAUCUCCAAGAGCCAUGAGUAUUGUUUCAUCAACUUCAUCAUCAUCUGAGUCAGAUCCCCAAGAUUUUGCUAUUGUAUAUUCUUCCUUCUUUUUGUUUUUUUCUAUCAAUUCCUUUUCAGCCCUUUCCUUUCUCCAUUCUAUUUUCCAGACAGGACAAUCCCUGAUUUGAUGAUUAGUUUUACUACACUUGUAGCAGCCAUUUGAAUUGUCAUUGGACCAUUUCUUUCUACCUAUUCCCUUUUUCUUUUUGAAGAAUUUGUUGAAGUUCUUAGCUAUAAAGGAAACUUGGUUUUCAUCAAGUUUGAUUUCUUAUGCCUUUAGAGCUAAGGUAUCCUCAGGGGCUGCUAUCUCUUUAGUUCCAUCAAUUUCCAUUUCAUAAGUCCUCAGAUUCCCUAAUAGUUCAUCUAGUGUCAUACCUGUGAGAUCCUUAGUUGCCUCCCUAAUAUCAAUCACUUUAACAUUCUAUUUUGGUUUUGGUAGCACCCUCAACACCUUUUCAACUUGUUCCUCAACAGUGAUGACUUUUCCAAAAGAAGUCAACUCAUUUGUCAAGGUAGUAAGCCCUGUCAUCAUUUCAUACAAGGUUUCAUUCUCCUUAAUCUUAAAAGCUUCGUAUUUAGUAAAGAGAAGAGCAAUCCUGAAUUUUCUUACAUGAGAGGUACCCUCAUGUGCAUUGACUAGUGCAUCACAAAUUUGCUUAGCAGUGGUACAGUUUGAAAAUCUAUUGUAUUCAGCCGGUCCUAGUCCACAGACUAAGAUGUUCUUAGCCUUAGCAUUUUUCUUUAAUGUCACUAAGUCAUCAGCGGUCAACUCACUUCUUACCUUCUUGACCUGUUCACCAUUUUCUAACUUCAUUGGAAUAGUAGGACCAUCAGUGAUCCUAUCCCAUAACUCAUAGUCUUCCCCUUGAAUGAACAUUUCCAUCCUAGCUUUUCACCAAAUGAAGUGAGAACAUCAAAGAGUGGAGGUUAGAUAGUGGAUUGACCUUUACUGUGACCAGUAGGUGGUGUGAAAUUUAUCAUAUUAAUCUUUGUCUUAGGUACAAGCCGUUUUUAAGACAACCCGCUCUAAUACCACUUGUUAGAGUACAUGCCCUACUGAUCAGUGACUUUAACGUAAGAGCUUUCUAUCGAUGAAACGGGUUGCCUGACAUGUUCCAAGGAAGCAGUAAAACAAAAAGUAAAGAACACAACAAUUUUUACGUGAAAAAUACCCAGCUCAAAAAGGUGUAAAAAAACCACGACCAACACCUCUACAGGAUUUAACCCCAACUUCACUAAAUAACUCUUAGCCUCAACAACUAUUGAUUACAAAACUCUUGUAACCAACAAAUAGGAAUUAUAAACUCUAAUUCCUUUAACUCAAUGACUAGGAAUUAUAAACUCUAAUUUCUACUACACACACCUCCCAAGGUAUGCAUUCCCAAAGUCUCUGAGUUUUUUUCCAACUCAAAGACUAUCUCAUAGUUUAGUUUAUAACACACUGAAACUAAUAUUAUAUUAAUAUUUCAAAUACAAUGAACAACUCUAAAAAUCAACGCUAAAACUCUUAGCUAGAUUCUAUACUUAGGACCAGGUUCUUCAAUAUGUUUCUUCAGUGAUUGAGUGGCACUUCGUGAAGUCUUUUUGUCGAUUGUUCUUUUCUGCUUUUUUAGGUUCGUAGUUUAUUCUAACUGAUGCAUCUUCUAUUUAAGCAAAACUCUUCAAAGAGUCAUUCUUUAUUUCAAACUACCCCUUCAAUCAUAACUCUCAUUGCAUAGAGUUCUACUUCAAGUGAGACUCAUUCUUCAAUUCCAACUCUUGUCUCCUUAGUGUUGUAGUCAAACUCCAACUCCCCAAAGAGUCCUUCAAAUUGUACGUUUUGUACAGACUUCUGCAAUUUUCAAAAUCUUUCUCCUUCUACACUAUGCUCAGAAGUGAAACUCCUUCUUCAUAGGACUCUUUUUUAAACUCAACUUGCUUUCCCUUAUAAUCAAGUGUUUGAAUCAAAUUCAACUUGUUCUAUUCACCACGGGAUCAGUAGUUGAAGUUUCCAGUUGCACUGAUUUAACUCAUUCUGAUUUUUAAUUAUUUACACCGUAGACUACACUCUUAAACUUGUUGGAUCAGUGGAACACGUGUAUCAACUUGUUUCAUUCAUACUGUCAUUCAUCAAAACCUUAAGUUUCCAACAUUAACCAUGUUGUAAUGGCUAUAGGGUAUGGAACUGAUGAGCAGGGUCAGAAAUAUUGGUUGUUGAAGAAUUCAUGGGGAACAAAUUGGGGUGAGA